UUAAGCACUGGAGGGACCAUACUAAUAUAUUAAUAUACUUCCUGUAUAUUAAUAUACAGGAAUUACUAUACUUCCUGUAAGUAGUAAACAUGAAUGAGUUGUUAUAAAAAGAAUGAGCCUGGCCCUUAAAUCUCUCUGAUUUUGUUUCACCAGGUGAUCUCUCCCAGUCCUACGUGCACCUCUGCCAUGACACCAUCACCAUGUUCUGAUGCAGCCAGAAAGCACUCAACAGAGCAGAGAGGAUGCUGGCAUCAUACUCACGAAUCUCCAGAAUUAUGUACUAAAUGUGCCUUCACUUUUUAAAAACAAAGCAUCCAGCCUCAGAAGCUGGUUAUGGCACAACACUCGAGCAAGAGGCCUGGGGUUCCAGUCUGCCUCAUGAAGGCAGAGUAUCACAUCUUGGAAAGACUGCAGGAAGUUAGUUCAUUUCAUUCUGCGCCGUGAGCUAGUCAGCAGUUAAUGGACUCAGACUGUAAGGUAAGUUCCCCUAAGUUCUCAGGGUGCAUUCGCACCAACAGUAAGCAGAUAUAGAUCUGGCCCCAAAGCCGGGCCCUGUGCACUGCUGGUUGCACAGCACCUUGUGAGGGCCAUGUAGCUGCUCACCUGGGGAGGAACACAUCCAUCCUGGUUCUCCUUAGCCUGCUGGUCCAGAGGUGAAGGACUCUGGCUGUAAGUUGUGGCUCAAUGUGGUCCAGGGGUGUAUCUCUGUCACGGGACAGCACCAGGAAGAGACUUGCUGCCCUCCCCAGGUAUGGCAGCUCCAGCAGUGACACUUGAUGACCCAUGGCAUCCUGGAACUGGCCUGGGGAUUAGUGGGUCAGGAAUUAGCUCUGUCCUAGAAGUCAGGGAGGCUGAACAGUGCCAGACCCAAGGAGGAGACAGUUGAUAGUUCAGGAAACAGUAAAACAGGUGUCUUCUCACCCGUAUGGAGCAGUUUGCAGCUGAAGACUUCAGGGUGGCAUAGUCCCUUAUUUAUCCCAAGGCCCAGCAUCUCUUAGAUACAACACAGGGCCCAGGUCAGAGGCCUGUACUUGCUAUGUACAGUGGAGACAAUGGCACAAGGUAGAACCAUGUAUACUAUCUUGAAGGGGCAGCCCAUCCAGUUCUGGCCCACGGGCACUCUAGGUCUUUUACACUGGAUCUCCUUAUCUCAGUAAAAGCUCUAAAUCCAGAUUUCUCAAUUUCUAAGACUCUACACAGACUCAGUGUAACCUGAGUUCAGGCUAGAUUUGACCUGGUAACUGAUUAAUAACCUGUGACCUAAAAAGUAGUUCCAGGAUGGGCACAUGGGAAGUGCAAAUGUCUGGCUGAGGACGAGUCUAGGGCAUCAGCCAAAGCAUGAUUUUUAGAAGGGUGUGAUAGGGUAGGUGGCAGGUGGCAGCAGACAAAGAUAGCCAGUAGCAAGGAAUUGAUGGUGAGUAAUGUAAAUAAUCCAGGUGGGCGGGAGUCUCACCAGGACUCCAGUUUAGAUCCUGUCCCUAGGAGGAUGGUGAGGCCAAGGAACUGGUAUGGGUUGGGAACAGAUUUGCCAGGCCACUAAGACAAAAUCUUAGGCUCAGUAGGAAAGAUGGGAACAUAGUUCCCUGCCAUAGUUCACACGGUCUACAGGUCUUUAUUCAGCAUCCACUAUGUAUCAGCUACCAGGAAUACUUGUAUUCUGGGAAGCAUAAGAGGACAUAGAGCCCAUCUACUGCCAUAACGCUGUCAAACUAACCUAUGAGGUCAGAAUAGCAAUAACAACAGGGCAAGAACAAGAACUAUAAUUAAUUGUAUAUGCAUAUUUAUUUAACAAAUAGAUGUUCUUUAGUUUGCAUCUCACAAACACACAAAUAUGUUUCCUGAGCACUUACUAUGUGCCGGCAUGGAAAAGCAGAACUACUAGCUGGGCUGCUAAAUGCCAACGUUCCUACAGGAGCAAUGGGGCCUUCAGUCUAGUAGGGACUCAGUCUUCAUGCUCGCUCCAUACCCACUACGUAAAGGUGCCUGUCAGGGGUGUGAUUUGGUCCAGAAAGAUAGUUUUCCAUUAAUUCCUUUCUUACUAAAUGUAUUGCAGAAUAUCAAGCAUAAAAUUGGGUUCUCAUCCCGAUCUUUCCUCACUGUCCUGUUGACACAGACUGUCCAGUGGGCCCUCUCUGAAUUUCCUGCCACCCAUUGUCUUUUGGCUGAGUGACAGCCCAGAGGAUGACAUCACAGUGAAACACACAGAGGCCUGGGUUUUUGUCUGCCACCACAUGGUCAUGCCUGCUCUGACGUCCUCUCACCCAGGGGCAGGGGCUCACCAUAGUUGACCUCAGCCGUCUGGUGCAUCAUGGGGACUCGAAAGACGAGGCCGUGGGCACUGGUGAAAGGCAGGGGCUGUGAGUCCAUGGAGGAGAAUGUCUUCUGCCAACGGCUUUGGAAGGUCACAGUGCUCACGAGGGCGAGCUGGGCAGACGCAGUGCUGCCCUCCUCCCACGGUAGGCUGUCUGGGCCCCAGCCUGGAAGCAGAGGAGCGAGCACAAGGGUAGAUGUACAUUAUGACCGCACUGAACACAGUAUGUAUGUGGCCAAGGAGUGCAGAGCUAAAGUGCAAAACACAAGGUAUCCUUUGAUAAUGGGGUAUUUCUCAUGUGACCCCCUGCCCUGAGCCCUGUUUUUGUCUCUGUUUUUGUUUCACAAUAUCUUUUCCAUGUACUCAAAAUUGCUUAAUUCCCUAAGUCCCUUCUGCUGCUGGAUACCCAAGGCCAUACUAGGUGCUAUCAACUUGCUGUCCUGGGCUUGGGCCAUGGAAAUGGGAGGUGAGAACUCAGAAAUCAUAGAGUCCUGACAUCUGGAUACCUGCAGGUAGGCUGUCGCUUACUUACAUCUGUUAAUUGCAGCACACUUAUGUGUUUAUAACUAUCUGUUGCUUAAGAUCGUACUCUUCUUUCUUGAAUAGGGAUGCUCCCCCUGCUUCUGUCUGGGCUGUUUCACAGGGACCAUUAAGCACUUCCUCCACAGAGCCCGUGGAGCUGAUGCAUCAUCCUCUAGUUCCCACUGUCCAUGCUGAGCCAUGUCAUUUGCUGGUCCUUUGCUAAGAAAAUGGCAUUCACAGCAUGGUCUUUGGAGGGCGGUAAUUAAAAUCCAUGAAUUACCAAAAGAGAAGUAGGCAGGAGCAGACCACUUCUAUUAGGGUCAGCUCUUAGACUUUUAUUAAUUUAAUAAACACAUACUUUGUACUAGGCUCUAUCUUAAAUUCUUAAGUAAAUUCUUACUUAUCUUUUAUUUCUCAUUUUAUUGGUGAAGGAACCUAGGGUUGGAGAAGUUAGUCAAGGUCAUAUAUUUAUGAGGGGCAAAAUCACCAUUCAACCAAUUACUAAGACAAACCUUGGAUUUGAGCAAGAGCAGCCUCAAAUUUGUGCUCUAGAUGACUGUAGUGGGCAGGUUAGUCUGGGAAUUUAGAACAGCAAGUGUGACCUCUCUGUGGGGGAGAGGGUGGAGAAUGAGACAUAGAAUUCAAACUUUAAAUAAAUUGACAAGAUGUUAAACAUUCCAGAAACCUGAGAGUUUGCAAGCUUAUUCAAUUACAACGUGUAUCCUACUGCUUUCUUUUCUGCUUUAGAAACAACAAUGAAUCUUGAAUGUUCUUCAUAUUCUGGAUAGUUUUGUAAUUUCCAAGGGUGCUGGGGCAUGCCAUCUGGGUGAGCGUCCUGGCUUUGUAGCCCACGUCAGACAGGAAGCUUGGCCCUUGGUGCCUCCAUUCCAGCAACUGUAAAAUUGGUGUCUGCUUUCUAAAAUCAUUGUGGGAGCGGACUGAGAUAAUGAACUUCAAGGACUGCUAAAUGAGUAGAUGGUCAGUAAAGAUGAACAAUUUCCAUCAUGUUUGGUAAUAGUUACAAUGGUAUGGUGGCAGUUGCUGUACUUCUCUGAAUCACUCCUUGUUGUUGGAAAGUUACAUUUUACAUAGUCUUUUUCUUCAAUAAAAUAGCAUCUUAUUCCAUAUAACUUUAUCUUUUUUUGAAUUGUCUCCUUACUCUAAAUUCCCAAGUAACCACAUUGUUGGUCCCUCCUGCAUUUCAAUAUCAUAAUUGUGGAUGAAGCAAAGCUAAGUGGAAAUUCACUGAGGGGAAAGGGGCAGAGGACAAAGCCUGUAGGGUAUGUCUAGACACAGAAAGCUCUGAGAGCAUCUCUAUGUGUGUUUUUGUGUGUGCUUGUGCACAUGUAUAUUUAUGUGUGUGUAGGAGGCAGAAGGGGACAAGAGUCAGCUUUAGUUGCUUCCCAGAGCAAUCACCCAAAUGUAAAGUUUCCCAAGUGGACGAACUUUUGGUGUAAUUGCGGGUAGCCUGAGCACCAUGACUUCUAACAAGCAACAUAUGAUAUUGUCCUGGCAGCCCUCUGACCUCAGAGGGGAAUGGUUUUUUGUUUUUUGUUUUUUGUUUUUUUUUUUUUUUUUACCUGUGAGUUGUUCAGAUUCCUCUUUGUUGGUCUGGAUGGUGGUGCCAUUGGAUUUACUGAGGUCAACUGGCUCCACACUGCUGUUGGCCCACGUGGAGACCUGCUCCACAAAGCAGGGAGACAGCGGCGUUCCCACUUGUACAAAAAGGGUGCACGCCAGCUCUGUCUUGGUGCCUUGGCUGGAGUUGCGCAACGUGGAAUAAACAGCAUGCAUGAAAUCCCUCACUCUUGGGUCUGUAAAAAAGGAACUGGAAUAAGUCAACAGUGCAUGUGUGAGUAAGGAGCUGGCAUAACCCCAUCUUUACUUUGUAUUUAAAUGGGACUCAAGCAAUGCCACUUUUUGAGGUGCAUUCAUUCUAUGUGGUCAGCUGGUUAAGUUGUAGAUAAUUUGCUUAGGAAUCAGCCUAGUUCCUCAAAGUAAACAUUGAGAAGAAAGCACGCUAGCUCUGAAAGCAGUGCGGCUGCUUUCAGUGGAGGCACCUCCAUUCUCUAGAUGAUAGAAACUGGUUUGUUUUCUCCUAACUUCUUGAUUCAGGAACUUUGGCAAGUGAGGGAGGGAUGAUUCUAGAGCUUAGAAAAUCACAAGUUCAAUGUGCAGGACGAUUCAAAUGCUAGCAAAGUCAAGAGAUUUAUGUCCAGUGUCACCGCUAACAAUGAUGGGAGGAGGAGGGGUUGUGCUGCUGUGAAUAGACCUCAGUAGGGUCUCAUAUCCAUCUCCAUGACUGCACAGUAUAAGCCUGAGUGACCUUUCAGUGCAGCCUCUUUUACAAGUAUGCAUACAGUUUGAGAAACACAGAGGAAAAGUGAGACAGGAACUCCUCCCAUCCUCCAUCUGCCUGACAUCCAGCAGACGACUCAUUAUUAAUGUCAGUGAGCUGCUGCAAGGAUGCUGUGGAAAUAAACAUUUGAGAGAGAGUGGUAACUUCCACCUUCUUGCAUGGCAGCUGGAUGGACUACUAUUUAUUUACUAUUUACACAGGAGAGUGCUGUUUUCUCUGUAUAAUCAAUACUGGAUUUAAUUUUCAUGCUAUUAUUUGCAAGAUGCAGCUUCUAGUUUCCUUAGGCAUCCUGCGACUGAAACGAGGCCUUCCACUCAUCGGUAAGACUGGACACAGUUGAGGUCCUCCAGCUUUAUACUCCUGACCAUGCAAGUUAGAUUUGACUUUACUGAGGAAGGCCAUCUGUAUUUCUGGGAUCACAUCAUUGCAGGAUGUUGACUCUGCAGAGAAGCUGUGGGGGUGUUUGCAGAAGUGAAGCCUCCUGGUUGUACAGGCUUCCUGUACAACCUUCCCCUUUCCCUUCUUUGUACUUCUCCUUUGUCUCUGGUACAACCCAGUAGUUGUCCCCAACCACUUUCUGGAAGACACAGUGCUGAGUCCCUUUCCUGCACCAACUGCCCCAGCUAGCUCUGCUGCUAGACUAUUGCAUGACCCUCUCACUCAUCUGUCCCCUCUAGCACCUUCUAGGCUACAGAGGCCAACUCAGGAGUCAACAGCAUACUCUGAGUAACUGGCUCACAUUCUCUGUGGGACAUGGCACUCAGAAUCCACCCUAAAAGUCAUGGCUGCCAGUCCUAGUUUGCAUAUCACAGAGGCAGGCAAAUAUUACUCAUUCCCACCAUUCAUUAGCCCAACUGCUUGUUAGAAUAUACAACUGUAAAAAAAAUUAGAUUCCAUGAAUUACAGCCUAGUUUGAGUGCUUGUAUUUAUUGGGAGAAAAGAAUUAAAUAGAAAAAAUAUGUACUUAUAAUUAGAUUUUGCCUAGUAAAGAAGGUCAUCGCUAUUUCUGGGAUCACACCCCUGUAGAACAUUGUCUGUCUGCAGAGAAGCCUUGAGAUAUUUCAAGGCCUGUAGUGCAGAAUGAAUUUAGGAAUGGUCCUGAGUUUUUCUCUUCAUCCCUCUGGCUGGGGACCAGUGUUUUUUUUUUUUUGUACUGGGUAUUGAACUGAUAACCUUACACUUGCCAGGCAGGCUCUUGUGCUGCUGAGCUAAAUCCCCAGCCCAGGACCAACAUUUUUACAGUCAGGAACAUUAACAGAGCACAGUCAGCUGGCUUGAAGUAGAUUUUAGUGCAAACCUUUACCUGCACUGAUUAGUCCCUGUUUAUGCAAAUAGGAAAGAGCUUUUCUACAUGUGCCAUAAUACACAUCACUAGAUUAAAAACUAUCAAGCGGUAACAGUGAUGAUAGACACUGUGCAGCCUGCUCCACAUACCUGGUCACAUUAAAUCUUUCUAUGAACAUUGUGACUGGGGAGCUAUUAUUAUCCCCAUUUUAUAGAUGAGGGAUCUGAGGCUUAGGCAAAUUCAUGGUGGCACUUGCUCUGUGUAGUAACUAAGUGGUAGGUGACAGUGCCUCACUGUGCUGUCUACCCAGAGGGCAGGGAACAGGUAAACAGAUUCUAAUAAAUUCUAAUAAAUCACUGAGUGAGGGAAGGAGGGAAGGAGCAGUAUAGAUCAAGAGCAUAAUGAGGGGGGUGUGCAAAAGGGUCCCUGGGCAAGUGCAGAGCGGGAAGAAAGUACUGGAAGCAUCUAUGAAUCCUGCAGCAAAUCAGCCUUUUAGUUCAUUUGACGAGUGUGGAAAAAGGUCUUCCUUUUUAAAUAAAUCUGCAGGACAAAAUUUCUUGAAUAUGAUACUGAAUGCUGUAGGUCUUAACUUUGUAAGGUUAAUGGCUAUAAAAUUCUCAAACUAUAAGAACUAUCGUUUCAAAGCUGGUAUUUUAGUUGCCUGUGAACUAAAAGGGAGUUAAGCUCUCCAGUGGAUUUAGUGAGUUGUGAGGAAAUGAGGUUGCCUACGAUGAGAAACAGAGAAGAUAAGUUAUGUACACAUCAUGCAACUGCUCCACAGCUGAAGGGGUGCCGAGGAAUUGCAUAAAGCACACAGGACACGGAAGCCGAAACUAUGGAACUGGAAUCCCAGCUCUGUUGCUUGCCUUUUAGGCGAGCUGAGUUUGGCCAAGUCAUUCAUUCACCUUAAUGUAAAAUGGGCCAUGUUAAUAAAAUGUUAAUAAAGGCCUAGAAAUUGUAGAAGAUCUCUUUAGGGGAUCAAAUGUCAUAAGCACUUCUAACAUAAACUCCAUAGGCAUUAUGAAAGAGAAUCCAAGGAACCAGAUCACCUUUAUCUUUGAGGCUUUUGCUCCUGGCACUCUUUUAUGCUUAAUAGAACAUAUUAAAAUUUCUCCUAAUUUCUCCUUUAUGAAUUUACUUAAAAGAACAAUGAAAAUUCCCAGAAGCUAGGACAUUGUUUAAUGUGGUGAAAAUAGGGUGCUUUUGGAGGAUAUCUCUGGUUUUUGUUCUGAACUCAUCUGGUGCUGCAGGACCAGCAGCAAAACUGCUGCUUGCCACAUAGUGUCUGGGGGUACAGUGGGAGGACAAUGCUGAUGUAUUGCCUUGCAACUUGGGCAGAUCUUUCUGUUGAUUAAACAGGCACAGGGCUCCCAGGCUCCUGGGAUGUCCUUAGCUCCUGGUUUUACAGCUGCAUUAUAGGUAGGUAUUAGCUUUUAUAAGAAAGGCUGGGCUAGGACAAGGGAUGAGCACUGGUGUGUAGUUUUAAGCAGUGCACAUGAGUUUCUUGGAGCUGCUCUGGUACAAACCAAAGCACAGAGUUGUGUGAAACAGAAUUCUGAAAAUAGUACAUUCUUGUUCUUGGUAUUAACUAUGGCUCCAUAAAAUGAUAAACCAGUUUAUGAUUAAGAAAAUUAAGGGAGAUUAUUGUUCCAUGGAGUUUGACUAUUAAGCGUUCUUGACAUUUGCUGAUUCUCUAAUGGGCUCUGUGAUAUCUUCGGCCACACUGCCCUGCCCUGAACACACCUGGUCUCAUUUUAGGGCUCUGUGAAAAGAGCAUCAUCACAUUUGCUUAACCAGUCACCAUGACUGCUCUUGACAACAGAGAGUUGAUUAUACAGUUUCCUUUCUCUGUGGGAUAGUGACACUUGCAUUUCUCACUCGCCAAUCCUGACUUUUGUGAGGCUCUAUUUAAAGGUCCAUUCCUCAGAGCUCAGAUGUCAUGUCUUUGGGGAAACUUUCUGAUCUGUCAGCAGAAUCAAGCACUUCCUCCACAUACUAACCUGAUUUACCCAAAUGCACGUAUGGCACUGAAUUAGAGGUUUUUCUAUGUGUAUUGCUCAUCUGAGAGUGAGCUGCCUGCAUUCAGAGUUAUUAUAUGUUUCCAGCACAGCACUGACCCUUGCAGCAGCAAUUCCCAAGACCCUGGCAGAUUUCAUUGCACUGAGUCUAUUGUGGGUGAAGAAUAACUUGGUGUGUGAGUGUACUUCUGUGAUACACUUGCUGAGAGAAAUUAAGGUUAAAAACCUGUCUUCAACCUCAGUUAUCUCCAGAGGAGACACACACUUGUCUAUAGGCUAUCAGGAUCAUGAGAAAUGUUUUGGCAGGGCACAGGGAGUAGAUGCAGAGCGACGGGGAGUUCACCUUGUCCUGGGGUCCAGCUGAAUGCUAACUAAUCUUUACUCGCCAACUGAAGAUUUCAUUGUAAAGCUUGCUCUCCAGGCAGUAUUGGUAUUAAUUCUUGUGCUUUCUGAUAAAUAUUAAUUUAUGCAAAGGUCACUGUCGUCUGUUUUAUUGACAUCUUGUCCUGAGUUGGGGAAGAAAAAGUUGUGCAAGUGACUGCUACCUUAGUGUGGAGCUGGUUGGCAGGCACUGAGGAUAAGCAUUAAGCUGAGGCUAAGCUACAAUCAAGAGACUCUCACGGCUGUUGUGGAACUCUUCUAAAACACAGAAUUCACAGAAAUAAGCUGGCAGGUCAGGCACUGGCCAGAAGUCACAGAUUCAUAAAAGCGGGCUUGUCAAUAGCAUGAGAUCUAGAGCCAAACAGUCUGGGCUGAGCUCCAGCUCUGCCCCUUACUGGCUGUGACUGCCAGAGAAUUGCUCCCACUUUCUGUACCUAUUUGCUCAUCCUCUAUCCCAAUAAGGUUGUUGUGUGGCUAUUCAUUUAAUUAAUAUUUUAAGGUGCUUCCCACACUGCUUGGCACUUAGCGAGCUCUAUAAAAGGGUGUAUGAAAUGAAAUUGAAAUAUUGCCAUGGAAUCCAAAGUUAGAAGGGAACCUUAAAAGUCCAGGGUGAUCCCUGUUCCAAAGUGGGAAUGCCUUCUGCUGCAUUCGUGCCCAGUGGUCAUCCUGCUGUGGAUUUGCACACCAGCUAAGCACCCCCUAUCUGAAACAGCCCGAGCCGGGAGUUGAGCCGGAGCAAGAAUAUGGGCAAGGAUGAAUGUGAACAGGAGAGAAAGUGUGACAGACCGACAGAACUCUUACCAUGUACAGUGUAUCCCAGUGCAUCUGCCAGCUGCCGGCUAGUAUUUCCCUGGGCUCCAAACUGUAGAAUCUCUAGCGCGAGAGACACACCAGCAGGUGAGAUGACAAAAUUUGUCCCAUUUUCCCCCGCUGCCACACUGUGGUAGAGUCGGAGUGCAAAUUCUGUCUUUUUCCAGGGCAGGCCUUCCUGAGGGAGGAGACUGCUUCCUCUUCUGGGGAAGCAGGAGUGGAGGAGGAGGAGGGUGAGUGGCAGGAGAGGCAACAUGGCAGCGGGGAGACCUCCUGUAGUUCAAAAGGAAGAGAUGCAGGUUGAGGCAGGCGAUGCCACAGAGAAGCAGGACGCCCGGUUCAUGUGCAUGGCUGUCCGAGUGUGGAGUUGGGAAUGGCGGAAGGAGAGAUUCACUAAGCUGUCCUGGUCACCCAUCUAUGAGAUCAGCCACCAGUCUGCUUGAUUGUACAGGGAUCUUCUCGUGUUUUAUAUUCAGCCAGCUUAUAGCUGUGCCAUGCUUAUCACAAAUAAUAAUAUUAAUAAUCAUUGAUAAUUAUCUAUCAUGUUAUAAAGGACUUUAUAUGUCCCCAUUCAGUUAAUCAUUCCAACACUCUUACUAGGUAGCUGUUUUUAUUUUUCCACAAUAGAGAAGAUGAGUGAGGUUUAGAGAGCUCAGUGGCCCAUUUACAUCAGAAACCAACAGGGUUGUGACUCCAAUCCUGCUUUUCUGAGUGGUCUAUAAAAUUCUUUAGGGUCAGGGGUGUAGCUCAGCAGUAUAAGUGCCUGCCUGGCAAGCGUGAGGUCGUGAGUUCGAUCCCCAAUACCAAAAACAAACAAACAAAAAUACUUUAAAACACUGCUAUAUGAAUCAAGUGUGGUGGCACAUACCUGUAAUCUCAGCAUCCUAGAGGUGAGACUGCAAAUUUGAGGCCUGCCUGGGCUACCUAAUGAGUUCAAGGCCAGUUUGAACUAUAUAGGUAGAUCCUGUCCUGACAAACCAAAAAAUUGAUGUAUGCCUUAAUCACCAAGAAUUCCAGAAUUCUCAUAGAAUUAAUUUCAUAAGAAAGAACACUUUCACAGAGAGAGAAGUUAUGGGAAAGAAGGUUCCUACCACAGAACUAUACCCUUCCAAGGAACAGAGAACAACCACUAGCUAGAAAUUAAUGCCUAGAGAGAAAAGCAAAGCAAAAACUUUUUCCAUACAUAUGCUACUCAGAUGACAUAAUUUUCACCAAGUAGUCUAACUCUGGAAUCAUACUGGACUGAUGUGACAUAGACUCCAUUCAAAGUCACUUUUUAUGGAAGUCUUCAAACAAGAUCCUGAGUUCAGUAGGAUUUCCUUCAGACAAAGACCCAAGAUACAAAACCAUCUCUUGUUUUCCAUCUCUUUCUCCUGAAGCCAGACAUAAAUGCAGUGUAUGGAUGAUCUUGGUAGCAUUUCUGCCUGUGUGCCUAUGUUUAUGUACCUGGAGAUAGCAAGCCCCAGGCCAGGGUCAUUUGUGAAAGCCUCAAAUCCCACUUCAGGAAUCUUGCAGCUGGUAUAGCUUCCCAUAGGAAUAUUUAGCCCUUAGCAAUCAGAUCUUGAUGCCCAAGACUGUCCAUAACCCAAGCCCCACUGGCUCACCACAGAUGAGCUGCUUACUCGCAGUCUCUUGAGUCAGAGUGUUGAGUUCUCGUGCUCAGUUCUGUUCCUGUGGGUCUCCAGCACUAUGUGCUCCCUUUAAAACACAAAAUCAAAAAGAAAAAAAAAAGUGGAGCAGAAUCUGCUUUGAAUCACAAGACAGAACAGGGAGGAAACUGGUGAUUGUCGUCUCUGCCGGCGAUGUCUCUACCACUCAGUCCAAAUUCCUAGAGCUUGGAGGUCCUGGGAGCCAGGGAGCAGGAGAAGCAGCCCAGCCCAGGCAGCAAAGCCCAGAUUGGGAACAGAGUGGGGUCCUGGGGACAGAGCCAGCCAUACCCGUCAAGCCUUCUUAGGCUUGUGACCUGGUUGUACCAGCAAGGAACCCCUUGUCUAGCUCUGUGUCACUUUGAAGAAUUCCACUGAUAACUCUGUGUCUGGGAUUUUUCUAGGUACCAGGUACUUACUGCUUCUCCCUUAGUUCUGUGAAGAAAAUAGUAAGUCUGUUUUUGGGCAUGAACUGAAACUUUAGCGAAUCAAAUUCUGCAAAAGAGAAAGAAAGCAAUGUAAAGUCUGACACAGUUUGCAACAGGGUGUCUUGUUUUUUUUUUCAUUAUUAAUAAAAGUGAAUACAUUCAUUUAUUUGUUACAUGAGCACUAUUAAGAAUCAAUGACUCAAUUUGACAGAGAGAGAGAGAGAGAGAGAGAGAGAGAGAGAGAGAGAGAGCUGUACUGACAGGUUGUCAGUAAAUAGAAGCAUAGUUUUGAAAAAUAUAAAUGGCUUUUGUCAGAUGUUCAUCAAUUGUGACCAACUUAGAAUUAUAAACAUUUCUGUUAAGGCCUUAGAUACUUCAUUAAGUUCAAAAUAGACGGUAGGUUGUAUGUUGUUAAAGAUUAAAGAAAAAAAGAAGAUAUUUGGAAACAAAUACAAUUCUUACUAGUUAGAUAUCUGUUAGUGUUAAUAUUUAAAAAUGAAUGGAUUAUAUUUUUACCUGACAACUAGGCGGGCCCCUACAAUCAGAAGGCAGUUCACUUUAAGCAGAGUUCUAUUGCUAACACCCAAGCAUGGAAUAGUUAAUAGGUCUUAAGAUAGUUACAGUUUAAUAUUUAUUUCCCCUCAAAUCUUAAAUUUAAAUAUAAGUUCAUUAUUGUGUCCCUUGUACUCUAAGCCAUAGUAUGAUAGGAAAAUCAAUUUGUUUAAUUUAUUCUAUAGAACCCAGAGAAUACAUGUCAUCCAUAGAUCCACUCAUCCAUCUCCACCCAUCCAUCCAUCCACCUAUUCAUCUCCGUCCAUCCAUCCCACGAAUAGCCUCCUAUUUGAUUGCCUGAUUGCCUGCUUGGUUCUGGGGCUCUGGGGAUGUGGCAGUGAACCAGCAACUUGGGCUAACCUUUCAUGGAACUUAAAGCUUUGUUCCUUGAGUUGAUACUUAGAUGUUGACGGUAUUAAGAAGAAAGAGUCAUAGUAACUUAACAGGGGCCGUCUGGCAACAUUAUGAGGACUAUUUGUAACUUAAUUAUGAGGCCUAUUUGGCUGUAAUUAUUUGAUCAGAAUCUGGUUCACAAUUUGCCACUGCAGGGGUGGAGAGAUGUUUGUAAAACAAUUUCCUGAAUUAGAAGAAGAUUGUUGUGUGUGACUUCUGUGAGUAUUCUUUCUUAACUAAAAAUGUAGCUUUCUAGAUUGCUUUGAAUAAGAUUUUUCCAGAAACAAUGCCAGAGAAACAUCAUAAAAGAGAGGUCUCUUACACAGGCUGAACAUUUCAAAGUGUGAAUAAAUGAGAUGAACUGCAGCUGACUCCUGUGUGUACUCAGUGGUGAACUGGUGAAGUCGUUGGGCUCUGAUAAUUUUGGUAGAGACUGUCAUGUUUGUUUCUAUGUUGGUCAGGUAGAUAUUGGUUAACUUCUAAGGGAAGCUUCAUUCAGAUAUUUAUUUAUAAUUCUAACAACAAAAACACUGAACAUUAUUGAAUAUUUUCAGUGUUCUACAUUCUGUGUUACACACUUCCUAUCCACUAUUGCAGUGAAUCCUUACAACAAUUCUAUGAAAAAUAUAUAUUAUUCCCAGUCUUCUAACAAAAAAAAUAAGGCCAAAAGAGCUUAAAAACUUGCCUCAGAUCCUGCCAGGAGAAACUGGGGUUGAAAUCUAGGUCCAUCUUGACUCCAAGACUUACACUGUUUAUCGCAGUUGUGGUGGUGCCUGUUGACAAGCUUCCUGUUAUGCACAGGGACUAACUUCCAAGACAUUCUUUAAGUGCCUGGAACAAAAGACAGCAACAAACACUGUAGUUUUACAACUAUGCUAUUUCUCCCAUACACAUAUACAUAUCUUUGACAAGGUUUAGUUUAUAAACUACUCACCAUAAGAAAUAAAAACAACUCAUAAUAACAUGGAAAAGUUAUAAUGACAUAAUGUAAUAAAAGUUAUCUAAAACUUAUGACUUGCUUAUUUCUGGAAUUUUCUCUUUAAUAUUUUUGGACUGUACUUGACUGCAGGAUUGGAAACGUCAGAAAGUAAACCUCUGAGGUACAGGGGAAGGGCUGUACAGGAAAGUCCUGUUUUCCUAACUAUUAAAUACUGCAUUGGCAUGGUAUGUUUGUUAUAACUAACAUUGAUAUUAACUAAAGUCUAAGUUUACAUUAGGGUUUGCUCUUUCUAUUACCCAAUUCUGUGACUCAUCUCAAAGGUAUAAUGUUAUAUAUUCCCUUUACAGUAAUGUUCAGAAUAGUUCCACUGUCCUAAAAGUAUACUCCUUCCCUACAGUCCCUGGCAGCACUCAGCAUUUUACUCUCCUAUAGUUAGUUUUACCUUUUCCAGAAUAUCACACAAGUAGAAUCACAUAGGUGGAGCCUUUUCAGAAUAGGUGCUUUCACUUACUUUGUAUUUAAGGUUUCCUUUAUGUCUUUUUGUACCUUGGUGGCUCAUUUGUUUUUAUCACUAAAUAAUAUCCCCAUGCAUAAAUUUACCACAGUUUAUUUAUUCAUUUACUUAUUGAAGCACAUCUUUUUUGCUUCCAAGUUUUGGCAAUUUUAAAUAAAGCUGCUGUAACCUUCUGUGUGCGGAGUUUAGCAUUAAUACAACAUCAACUGGGUAAAUAAGAGGCUAUAGCUGGAUUAUAUGGUAAGAUUAGAUUUAGCUUUUGAAGCAACUGCUAAACUGUCUUCUAAAGGGACCGUGCCUUUUGCAAUUUCUACCAGCAAUUAAUGAGAUAUUCCUCUUGCGCCCUAUCCUUGCCAACAUUUGGUAUUGUCACUGUUUGGGAAUUUUAGUGAGACUAAUAUUCAGGUAGUGGUAUCUCAAUGUCUUAAUUUGCAAUUCUAUAAUGUCAUUUGAUGUCAAGCAUCUUUUUGUAUGUGUAUUUGCCAUUUAUGUAUGUUCUUUGUGAGGCAUUCAGGUUUUUUGUCACUUCAUAAUUUGAUUCUUUGUAUUUUUACAUUGAAUUUUAGUCAUUUUUCAUAUAUUUUGGUUAUAAGACCUUUCUUCUGGUUUUUGGUUUGUCUUUUUUCUUUUUUUUUGAGGCAGGUUCUUGCUGUGUAGUCAGGAUGGCCUUGAACUCAUUACGUAGCCCAGGCUGGCCUUGAACUCUCAUGGUGAUCCUCCUUCCUCAGCCUCCACAGUGCUGGGAUUACAGACAUGUACCACCACGCCUGGCUUGUCUUAUCUUUUCAACUCACUUGAUUUAUAGAGUUAAGAUAUAUAACGUAAAGUUAAGAUAUAUAAUGUAUAAUAUAAUGUAAAAUGAUCUUGCAGGGACUUCAAGGAAGGGCUUGGGAGAAGAUGCUAUGUCACCAUCAGCACUGUUGAUUCUCAUUCUAUGUUUGAGUGCACAUGCAAGCCAAAUAACCACAUUUUUUUUCCUUCUUGGUGGAGAGAGGAGGAAAAUUAGGUAAGGGGAAUAAGGACAGGUUAUAGCUUGUAUGUAGAUGUUCCUCAUGCAAUCCUAGGUAGGGCUUUUCAGAGGUGUUUGAAUAUAGGGUGUGUAGACAUAGGUUAAAGGUAAGUAUGUGCUAAUUAAAUUAGCUCCCUGAUUGUUUUAGCAUAGCUCUGGGUGUGGUUAAUGGGAAGGCCCACCGUAGGUGUGGAUGGUACCAUCCACUAGAUUUAAGCCUGAAUGGAUUAAAAGGGAAAAAGCAGAAGGAACAGUGCUGCCUCCUGCCUUCACUUUAAAGGACAGUUUCUCUCUUGCCAUACCACCCUGCCUUGGAGCCAUUGGCCAUGAACUGAAACCUCUACAAACUGUACACUAAAAUAAGCCUUUCCUCCUUAAACUUUUGCUGGUCAGGUAUGUUGUUCCAGCAAUGAGGAAGUCUAAGACAGAGAGCUACUUAAAAUGGCUUAGGUUUCAAGCAUUGUGAAAGAGCUAACCUUGUAGGCAGGCCCUGGGCACUAUGUGCCAUUAUUCUGUCCUAGGGGUACAGGAAAGCUGCAUCUCCACUUUUGAGGUGAUUGCUGAGAAAAUGCUGUAGGUUCCUCAAGGGACAAGAUGAAGGAGAUGUUUUAAAAGCAUAUGCCAGUGCUAGCACCCAUAUUAUAUGAACACACCUCUGCAGGAGAUGCAGAAGGAAGAGGAAGGGAGGGUGUGUGUGGGGUUGAGAUUAAAAAGUCUUUAUUUCUAUUUUCAACAUGUGGGUGCUAGAGAUGAUGAUAGUAAUGAGGUUCAGUUGCUGCCCAAGUGGAGAAGGGAAACAAAUAUGAGAAAUGGGGCAGGGCGGCACAAAGAAACAACAAACAGCUGGCACUGUUCUGGAAUUUUCUGGAUACACAAGAGAGACACACAGCAUCUGUGUGCACAACAAUACCCAAAAAAGCACACAGAUUUAUCCCCCAGUGCUCUAAACCCAGCAAGCCAACUGGAAGGGGGAAGAGUGGUGGUUUUGGGCUGCAGACUUAAGGCAGGCCCUGCUGAUGCCUCCCGUUGAUCUUCUGGAUGAUAAAGGUCUAGGGGUUCUGCUGGGGAAAAUGUCUCCAUUGAAGCCCCACUGCAUUACCCUUUAGAGCAACCCCAUUCAAGCAGAACCCAAACCUGAUUUCCCGAAAAGAAAAAUGGGAUCUUUUAUGCACAGUGGACUCCCAAGAAUAUCUUUUUUUUUCUUUUUUUGGAUUAUCAGUACACAUCUGACAUGACUAGGUUUUGUAUUACAAGGCAUUAGUCCUCAGGCUGAAGCAAAAGCUUAUGUUCAGGAUGUGGAGUAAAACUAUCACACCCAAAUAUCACCUAAUUUAAACAGGGCAGGGGCAUAAAAUGUGCACCAGCUGAUCAGUCUCUCUGCUAGCUUUGUGGCCACUCAGACUGCACAUUGGUGGCUCAUCUUUCACAGGUCUUGGUUUCCAUCUUUUCCAGGACAAAAAUCCCCUAAGGUCAGCAUGUUGUUGAUGGCAAUCAGCUCAGGACAUUCCUGGGAGAUGUAGGAAGUCAACGCUCAGGACGUCCGGCAGCUGUCUCUGCACACACUGGGGAAGCCAGGCACACUGGGUGCCUUUCACAGUCCAUUGGUUUACAUUUGCAGCCACUGUAUUUUAGAUGCACCACAGUUACUUAAGCCAUUACAUCAUGAGCUACAUUAAGUGUUUCCAAGUUAUACCACAACUUACCAGCAUGUUCUGUGAUUUUUCUGUAUAGACUAAAACAUGUUUAUGACUUUGGGGUACAGCAGAUGGCUGGGUCCUUUGAAGAAGGUAGCCAUAUGCUUAUUGGUAAUGAAGUAAACAUUUUUACAACUUUACUUUUGAGAAAAACAUGUUCCCAAGCAAAUGAAUGCUUAGGAUGGAAACAUUGUUUACCAGUUUAAAACACAGCAAACUGAUUUCUAGUCUUUCCUGUUAAAAUGUAGGAUGAGGGAUCUUUAAAAAGUUCAUUUUGUGUAUUGUAGACUGAUCGGUAGGUUAUUCCUGACACUUAUUGUUGACUUCAGUGUGUAUUUAGAUAGCUUGAAUUUUCCAAGCUAUUUUAUAACUAACAUCAUAGAAGCAGAGAAAUACUCCUUUCAGCUGAGAAUAUUUUAUUGAAAAAAUUCUGCAAAAAGUACUGAGAAGAAUAAUGGAAAUCUGAUCAUAUUGGCUGUCAGUGCUUUGAUUUGGACAUUUUAGGCACCAUGCUCCAUGAAGAUGAGGAAAGUUUUUUAUUCUAAGUUGUAUUCCCAAUUCUGAGAAGAGAUUCUGCAUACAGAGGUACUCAACACAUGUUUAUCAAGUGACAUUAGUCAGCUGUCUAUCACUAUAACACGCAUCUGAAAUAAUCAACUUACAGAGACGAGGUUUAUUUUGGCUCAGAGUUUUGAAGGUUCUAGUCCAUCAGUGGUUGGUGCUGUUGCCUGUGGUGAGGAAAAGCACAUGGCAGAACAAAACCACUUUCUUCAUGGCCAGAGGGCAAAAGAGUAAAAGAAGACACUCCGGUGCCACAGUUGUCUUCUAAGGCUUAUCUCCAAUAUCUUCAAGACCUCCCACUAGACUCUGUUUUAGUGUUUCCACCACCACAUGGCUUUUGGGGUAGACAUUCCAGAUCCAAACUCAAGCAGAAAGGCAGGUUGAACUUCUCCACAAAAUGCUUUGUCGCCCCACCCUUCAUUCCUCGGAGUUCCAAAUAUUACCUAAGUGCUGUUUUACCAAAAACUCCUUCCCUUUGAGAUAAGGCAGUAGGCGUUUGCAAAGUUGUACAAAUAAGAAUAAAUGCCUCACAUACUUUACCCUAAGUUACUGUAUUAGUCAUUUUUGUGUCACCAGGACACAAUAACUGGCGCCCACAAUUUAAAGGAAGAGGGGUUUAUUUUGGCUCAGAAUUUUUAGAGGAAUUGGUUGGCUCCCAGGCAGAAAUGGCAUGGUGGGAGAGCUUGCCAGAAGAAAGCUGCUCCCUGGCUGCUCCCCGACUUUCAUGGCAUCCAGGAAGCAGAAAGGGAAGGGAGGAGCUGGAGAUGAGAGUGCACCAUUCUAAGUCCCUACACUGGCUCCUCUCCCAGACAGUGACCAACCUUCAACCCCACCCCCAUCGCCUGACAGCAUAUUCAGCUAUAAACUCAUCAAUGCAUCAGUCCACCAGGGAGGAUAGCACCCCCAUAAUCCUAUCAUUUUUCAAAGCCUCACCUCUGAUGACAUGAGAGUUCUAGGGACCACUCCAGAGUUAAACCACAAGAGCUCCCCAAGUGGAGUCACAGUAAAGUGAAACAUCCUGGCUGUGGAUCCCAGGCUCCAGGGUGCUGCUCACACAGCCAGGAGAGGAAGCUUGAGCCAGCUGUUUGCCUACUUACCAGAGGCAGCCCUUGUCCUAGUUCCUCCCUGUCGCUCUGGAUCCUGCCAGGAUUCUGGGGAAACGAGUCUUCCUCCUGGACGUUUUAGGUCUGGUGUAUAUCCAGAUUUCAUGGCCUACGAAGGCCCUGUGGGGACUGAUGCCUGGUUUCUAAACUCUGGAGUUAAUGAGGAGCCCUGAGGAAUGCUGGAUUUCUUUGCUGUAAAUGUGCAGAUGUAGGCUGCAGUACUCCUGAAGAGACAGGAGCUGUGGUGCUGUGAGCUGGAGUUUUUGUUUUUUAAGCCAUGGACCAGUGAGUCAGCAGAAAGACUAACCUAAUGGCCCCAUAGCUCAGUCCCGAUUUUGUCAUUAACUGCUCACGGAAUCAUCUGGGCCUCAUGUUUUUUAAGUCUUUAAGCAUCAGUUUCCUAAUCUGUAAAGCAAGAAUAAUAAAUAAUAAAUCCAUCUCAAGUUAGUGUCCAAAUGAGAUAGAGUAUAUGAACGCACUUCGUAAAUCAUGAAUUUGUAUAAAGACAUAUUAUUAUUUUUAGUUAGAUUUUUAAAAAUGAGAGUCAAAUUUUAUUAAGAGCUGUGUCUUUAGCAUUAUCUAAUUUAAUGGGGUCAUAAACAUUCUGUUAGGCAAAUGCUCCACAUGGUCAUUUCAUUACAGAAAUCUUUUAAUAAAAUAGGAAAUUAUAAAGAAGAAAACCCAAAAUACUCAUCAUUCUCCUCAUAUACUAAUUUGUUGGUUAUUACAGUUUCUUUUUUAACCUGGAAGGGGUAUUGGUGCCAGGUAGGUUAAAGUGGUAGGACAUGCGUGUGUGUGUGUGUGUGUGUGUGUGUGUGUGUGUGGCAGCUCAUGUGUCUGUGCUCUGGCACUGACUCUAGUGACAGUAGGGUGUGGGGGUAUCCUCAGAAGGGUACAAAAAGGAUGGACAGCAUAAGCCUAUUAUCUGAAGUUUGGAUUGUGUUCACCUUGGCAGGCGCAUUAAUCAGGGUUCGUCAGAGAAAGAAAAAAGGGGGCAGAAGGCAGAAAGAGAGAGAGAAAGACAGAGACAGAGACAGAGACAUAUAGCCAAUGAUGUAAGCUCCAGUCUAAAACCUAGUAAUCUUUUUUUUGGUCUUUUUUCGUUUUUAUCGGUACCAGGGAUCAAACUCACGACUGCCUGCUUGCAAGGCAGACACUUAUGCCGCUGAGCUAAAUCCCCAGCCCCAAAACCUGGUAAUCUUGAGACCAAAGAAGAGCCAGUGUUUAAAUUCAAACCUCAAAGUGGGAAAAGGCCAUGUCCAUGCUCAAGACAGUAAGGCAGAAGUUUCUUAUUACCCAGCUUUUUAUUCUGUUCAGGCCUUUGAUGAAACGCAUCCCAUUCACAUUUGGGAGUGCACUCUACUUUCUAAAGUCUAACCAGCUCAGAUGCUCGUCUCAUCCAGAAACACCCUCCCAGUCACUCACAUGAUAAUGUUUUACAAACAUCUGAGUGUACUGUGAUCAAGCUAAGUUUACACAAUUAACCAUCACAGCAGAGUGUGUUUCCUUGUCUCAGGCUGGUGCCUCUCAGUUUCUACACUUCUGGAUCCUUCCCCAUGCCCGGGAGGCCCUAGGUGACCAGUUAACCCUGCUAGCUGUUACUGUGAAAGUGAGGCGGUUUGGACAAGGGCAAACCCUGCCGCUGAUAGGAAGGCGCGUUUGAAGCAAAGUGUAGCACUAGAGAAUUCUUCACCCAUCAGGGAUGGACCUGGCUACAGCACUGAGGUCUAGUUCAGUUCAGCUCUGGAGGAAACCACAGGACCCUCUGCUACCGAAUGUCUGCAUGAGUGAAGCUAGCUAAGCCCUCCUGUUUUGACUACACAUUGCACUUAAGAAGAAGGAUGUCUUGAGUUUGGGUGCAAAUUUCUGCAAAGUGACAGGUGGGCCCAUGAGUCCUGGCAGUUUUCUUCUACCACAGCAGCCACACACCAUUCUGAUUCCUCUAGGUCUCUUACAUUUUGUUACUUCCAGGGUGGUCUCCCCUUUGCAUUGAGUGUUCACUGGAUCUCAUUAAUGGAGGCAAAGAACCGAACCUGAGACCUGGGACUGCAAAGAACUAAAUUGGGGAAGCAGGGAAAUGUGGAUGGACAGUGCAUUUCUGCACAGUGCAACAGCCCCAAGGCAGGAAGUACCAUGCGAUGAGCACCAUGCAGGUAGUGCAGAGUACCUAGGGGAAGGGAACCACCCCAACCCGGAGAAGCUCCCCAUUUAAGGGGAGACAGGCGUGGUGAAUAUCUUUGUAAGGUUCCAUAAGGUACAUGAAAAUGCUUUCUAAGUAAUGAUGUUUUAUAAAGAUGUUUUUCAGUUAGAUUUUUAUACUUAUGAAAGACUUCAUAUAACAGCUCUCAGAAAUAUUUGGUUAUUAUUUUAAAAAUUAAUUCUUGGAGAUAGAUAUGAUUGCCCAUUUUUGUAGGUGUGAAACAGGAAAGAAAAACUUGCUUGUUUGCCUUCUGUCUCUGUUUCUUUUUUUUCUCCAUCUGUUUCUCUCUCCCUAUUACUCUUGCCCACUUUUUUCUUCCUUUCUUUGUCCUUCCUUUUUUUUUUUUCUCUAUUUCAUUAAAUAAAUACUUAACACCUCUCACGUAUCAGGGAGCUUCUGUACUCAGUACUGGAAUUCAUUGGGGCAAAAGAUACAGAUCAUGUCUGUCUUCUUAGGCAUCCACAGUCCAGUGGAGGCAUUGCCAGCACAUAACAACAAAGAAAGCAACGCAACUACUAUUAUGAUAGGAAGAUAAGACUAUUCACUAGGGCCUAAGCUGAGGACAGUGAGAAUUAACCUCCAGUCACCUGUCUUUUGUGACUGGGGUCAUAUUUGCUUUGUGAUAAAAAAAGAUGUGAAUACCUUCCUAAGUAAGUUGGGAUCAAGCACUUGAAAGGUAACGAUUUCCAGAACCUAUGACCAUGACUGUAGGAAAAAUCCCCAGGUGAAUAGCAGUGGAAUCUGAAUACUUGAGUGUAAGUUGUGUGUCACUGGCAUUAGCCAAAGGCCUCCCAGCCCAGAGGUAGUCCUUAAGGACACGUGUAAACCAAUCACAGAAUCUUAGAACCAUGUGUUGUAUUAUGUGACCAAGUGCUCCAGGGCUGUGGGGCAUCAGGAAGGGAAUUGUGUGGAAAUGGGAGGGGCUACACAUGUGGCAUUCUCUAGUAUGUGUAAAUGGGAAAUAAACUUGCCUGUGCACCAUCUCUGAUCUCAGAAAUUUAGAUUUUUUUGUGGUAUUGGGGAUUGAAUCCAGGGAUUUCAUGUUGAGUUAUAUUCCUAUCUCUUUAAAAAUAUUUUUUUUUAAAUUUUGAUACAGAGUUUCACUAACUUCUUAAAUUGCCCAGGCUGGACUUGAACUUGCAAUCUUCUUGCCUCAACCUCUCAGAGUUCUGGGAGAAUAGGUAUGUGCCACCACAUCCAGCUUUAGAAUUUUUAUGGAGAAAAUAGGCCUAGAAUUUGUUAACAACGACAAAAAAUGAUUAUUCACUUACCUAUUGGUGUGUUAGCCUUUUGUUGCUGUGACAAAAUAUCAGAUAUAAACAACAUAAAGGAUAACAGAUUUAUUUUGCCUUAUGGUUUCAGAGGUUUUAUGGUCAGCUUACUGCACUGGUUUUAGGCUGCGGGAUAAGAUAUACCCUUCAAAGUCACACCCCUCAGGGAUCUAUCUUUUCCAAAUACUCUCCACCUCCUAACAGUCCAUUGUGCUAUGAACUAAUCAAUGAAUUAAUCCAUUGAUGAGGUUAGUGCUCUCAUGAUCCAAUCAUGUCUCUAGGCCCUCCUUUGAAAAUCGCACCCUGCGGUCUCAGUCUUCAAUACAUGAGAUUUGGGGUAUACUUCAUAUAUAGAUACAACGAUAUAUUAAUUCAUUCAACAAACUAUUGGUUUUGGAGCAUGUAUUUUGAACUAAGGCACUAGGGUAUGUUUUGGAGAUUGAAAAAAAUCAAGAUAUUGUGUGUCUGUUGAGUUUGAGGGUGAGGAGAUAGCACGUGUGUGGCAUUUUUAAUAUUGCUCAGUGUGCUGUGAGUGUUAUGCUUGGGGCCCUAUGGGAAGAGCAAGGAGCAAAGGCAGGGCCCCCUAAUGCCAGUAGGGCAGUGUCAGGAAGAAAAAGUUUCCCUGGCAGAGAGGCAAUUGAAAAGACAGAAAGAAGGUGGGUUAGUAAGGGGUCCUAUUUCCUUACAGGAAAGAGUGUCCUACCCCAGAAGAAUCUGGGCAGUUGAGUGGCCUUGUAAGACUACAGAUGCGGUAAAUCAUGGGGAAACAGGAUAAGCAAUGGCUUUGAGGGGCAGCCUACAAAACAGCAUGAGACAGAGCAGGCUGAUGGACAGCGAUUGCUGCUGAACUGGGACAGAAGCUACCUAGCAACCCUGAGGAAGAACACUUGGUUCUGACUUAGAGGUAAGGACCAGGCUUCACCCAGGAGCCGUUGGGAAAGAUGGGAAAGAAGGUGAGGGCACACUCCGGGCAGAGAACCUGAAUGACAAGGACAUAAAUACAUAGCGUGUGCUUGGCUUUGACUUCAAGCCCCUACUGGUUAGUGGAAAGCUACGGGGAAGCUGCAAAGCUGUCUCGGUCAUACGACCAGAUCCAGAGGGGCAGGACCCUGGUAGAGGUGUGCACAAUGUGUGACAGGUAAGCUGCUUCAGGGGAUUCGUAUAGCAUAUUUCCGAUGUCUGAAUGGUUCAUGCAGGGAUAACCUCUGGUGCUGUGGCUCUGUGCCCUGCUCUGGUUUUAGCUGCCAUGAAGUUAGCAGCUUUACAUCACCAUGACCUUCUUCCAUAUGCUCCUGCCUUGGAGCCAGCUGAUCAUGGACUGCACCUUCUGAAACAAUGAGCCAGAUAAACUCCUUUAACUCAUGUGUGGCAAGUAUUUAUCCCAGCUUUGGUAAGCUAUUACAGCGUGGGACACAGGAACCCUGGGCCAGCUUAUGGGCUAUGGGGGGACAUCUGUCUCACAGUCACCUGCAAAGUUCUUUCCUUGAUACUGGAACAGAGAAAUCCAAAGGUUGAGAAUGGGUGCUGAGCUCCGGUGAAGGAGAGCCCUGGAUCCCUUGUUAUGGGCCUUGAGCUAUCAUAAUAUUCUUUACUGAAACUCAGUUAUUUAACUCUCCUUAGAAUUCUUUGUCCUUCCAAAAAAUUCCAUUUUUCUCACUGAGUAGGUUUUUGGGUUUUUUUUGUAACCAAAAUUUUAUGAAUUAAUAAUAGACUUUUCCAGAACAAUUUCUUGUUCACAUGUGCUGCCAUGGGCUUUAACAUUCCAUGGAGCCUGGAUACUCCGAGGUAUGAUGUAAGCAUGCUCACACUGGAGUAGUGGAGGAGAUCAGAAGCAGAAAGAAGAAGGCAGGGUGGACCUGAUUUCACUGUGGGGAUUCUCCCUUCAAUAAAUGUGACUUGACUCUGGUAGGAUCUGCAUUGAGUAACCCAAAAACUCUGGUGACAAUGAUUUAUUUGCAUGCAUAUCAUCUUGUGCUUAUUUCUAAAAUACUUUUCAGAAUGCAUUUUAGAAAUUCUUACUGGUCAAGGGGCAAUGUUAGCCCUCCCCUGGACUCAGCAGAAAGCUAGGCAUAACAUGCAUUUGGCUGCAUUAUACAUUUAAUUAAUUUGCACAAGAAUAUUUCAAUUGCUUUCUCCCUCAUAUGAAUGAAAUCCACAUGAUUUCCAAUCUGUUUCUAUGGUUUCCUUCCUCUGUUCAGUUACAUUAAUCAGGCUGUCAGUUUAUUAUGGAUUUUGGUGUCUUUUUUUUCCCCCUUCAAAUUUGAGUCCAUAUUAAUUUAGUUUUCAUUUCAACAGUGUUUAAAAAUAGAGCAAAAUUAUUUUGACUAGCACACAAUCAAGCCUCUAAAUGUUUAAGGAGUUUGUCACAGCGGUCUAGGUUUCAUUGCUUUUCUCUUGCCUUAAAUGAGAUAUGGCUGUGAUUCAUUUUGCCUUGCAGCACGGUGUGUCAGCUUGUGUCUCCUCCAUGAUAAUUUUACUUAACACUCUUGGUUGGUUGGUUACCAGUCUCUUAAAAUACAUCAGCUUCUCCUUGGGAUUGGCCUUAGCGAAUGUACUCCCAUGAAGAAAUUUAGUUAUGCCUUUUUUAUUUGGUUGUUGAAAAGCAUAGUGCCAGAGCCCCUUUCAGACACUGAAAGCCAUCAUUUAAUACUGCUCUGAAGAGCUGAAGUCCAAGACCUGACCUUGAGCUAUGCUGCCCCUCUUCCAUGUGACAGAGGUGGGUGUAGUACUCUCACAGCAGUGCUGCUGGCCUCAGUCCAAGUUUGUUGAAUGCCCAGCUGGGUGUAGAGGUUACAGGCAUGAACUUUGGAGUCAGGCUAGGCUGCUGAUCUCUCUUUCUGGAUAUGUAUGUUGGUCUGCUUCUUAUCUUCCUCUGUGAGCUUCCAAUUCCUCACUUGUAAAAUGAGGGUGUUAAAGAUCUAUCCCUGAAGGUUGCGGUGAGGAUCAGGGGAGAUGACAGGCAGAAAGCACUUAGUAAAAUUUUCCAACAACAGUAGCUAUUACCAUCUUGAACACUUCCUGCUUUAGCGUGGAUGUUGAAUGUCUCCCAAAGGCCCGUGUGACAAAGGUUUAGUCCUCAGGGUGGUGCAUUUGGGAUGUGGUAGAACCUUUAGCAGGUGAAGCUUAGUGGAAGGUCCUUAGGUUAUUGCGGAUUUGCCUUUGAAGAGGAUUGUAGGAUCAUGACACCUUCUUCUUCUUUUGCUUCCUGGCCAUGAGAUAACCAGCUUGUUCUGCCAUGUGCUCUUUACCAAUGCUGUCCAGCACCCCCACUAGAAGACUAAAAGCAAUAGCUCUGCCUAUUCGUAGACUAGAAUGUCUAAAACUAUGAACCAAAAUAAACCCUUUGGCUAUGUAAGUUAAUUAUCUCAGAUAUUUUGUGAUAGUGACAGAAAACUGAUGAAAGCACCCCACCUUAAGGGCUCCCAAUUUCUAGAAUUUCUGUUGCUUGCGUGACCUGCACUUGUUGAUUUCCUGUUUUAAAAAAUAAGUACCUAUCGGGUGCUGUGUACUUAGUUGAAUACCUUGUUGGGUACUUACUUGGACUGUUUGUAUUUUCGCAGUAACCCUGUGAAGAAAUUCCUCAUACUCUCAUUUGAUACAGGAGGCCCCUGACAGUCAGAGAUUGAACUAAGAUCAAAUGGCUAACGAGCGCCAGGAUUGGGAAUUAGUUCUGGUAUUUGCUUAGUUGCUCAGGUCUUUUUUUUUUUUUUUAAUUUAACGUUUGAGGAUCUUAAGCUACAUUGGUUCCAAUUCUACAGUGACUGCUUUGAGUGUAGGAGCAAAGUAUAAUAUUUCUUUGAAUUCCCACAGUGCCUGGAAUAACUGAUACAUAAUUGUUGAUUGAUCCCCUCAGAAUGCCUUGAAUCAGACACCUGACCGGUCUUGUGACAAGUUUUUCUUUUUGAGAGCCUUCAUAUCCAUGAGUUAGCUCCAGGACACAGGGAUGAAAGCGAGUAUUAUGUGUGAGGAUAGGCUUGGGUAUCAAGUCUGUAACCGUGGAAACCUGCUUUGCCAGGAACAGUGAGCAUGAGUCAAGAUCAUGGCUCAAGUUCUUAAUACUUCUCAACCUUCUGUGCCCUCUGUACACAGAGACAGGCAGUCAGCAUGGAUUAAAGAGCCCCAGUCAACCCCUACCUCUUAAUAUUUGGUCACUGUACAGAAGUGGGCUACCAGGUACGGAAGAUUAACUGGUCUGGAUUAUCUACCCGGCAGAUUAGCUGGCCCAAGGUAGCACAGCUGAGUAUCCCUCAGCUGAGUGGAGAUCAUGGGAGGUCAGGGCAGUGGAAGGUUGCUGCAAAGGAAAGGUCUUGAGAGAGUUCUAUUCUCUGUCCUGUUGUAUGAGUGCAUUAGUCCGCUCAAGCUGUCACACCAAGAUGCCACAACCUGGUGGUUUAAACUACAGGAAUGUAUUGUGAUUCACACCUCCAGGGCUGGAGAGGUUGGUAGGAUUGGUGUCUUCUAAGGCUUCUCCUUUUGGCUUGUAGUUGACUGUCUUUUUCCUGUGUCCUCACAUGGCCAUUCUUCUAUGUUUUUAUCCUAAUCUCUCAUGAAGACACUAGUCCUAUUGGAAUUGGACACAACCAUAUGACCCCAUUUAUCUUAAUCAUUUCUUCAAAGGCUCUACUACAAAUGCAGUCACAAUCUGAGGUUCUGGGAGUUAGGGCUUGAGCAUAUGAAUUUAGGGGGAUAUAAGCUAGUCUGGAUCAGUGAUAUUCGUUGCUACACAAAGAGGGCUUAUCAUGGAUAUACCAGCAGUCACUUUGAUAUUAUCAAAGACACUUCUCUCCCAUCAUGGCUGAUGAGCUAUAAAAAGGGGGUUUCUCCAUAAACUUUUACUUGGGGGCCAGUAUGACAGAGUCCGGGGUGAUGGGAGCAAGGGAGCUAAAUACUGGACAGAGCGAUAGUAUCAGGAAGUAGCUAUUAUAGUGGCCAUUGUAAUUAAUUAUAACAUAUAUAUACAUAUUAUAUAUAUAGUAUUUAAAUUGUAUGUCUAAGGACUAUGGUAUAUAUACAUAUAUGCAUAUAUAUGUAACACAUAUUCAGAGACUACAGUAUGUAUGUGUGUGUAUACAGUAUAUAUGUAGUAGUAUGUAUCAUAGGAUAGUUACACAGCUCCUGGUCCCUGAGGACACCCUUUUUUCCUGAUCACAACCGUUUAUUAUAUCCUAGACAUGAUUUUACAUUACUCCUAACUUCUCAGUGUUGCAGCCUUUUUAAAGCUUUUCAUCCACCAAGUUUACCUCGUUUUACAGGAAUGACAGCCCCCAGGAAAAGCACAGAUUAGAUCGGCACAGGGAGCUAUUAUUUCAGCUCCCUGGGGAUUCACAGCUGUGAAAAGCCAGUGCAGCCCUACUUAUUUUCUUUAAAUCAACAAUGACCUAAACAAAUGAACCCUAGUGCCCAAGAAAUUUAGCGGCAGUCAGUGCUCUGAAAACUGAAAGACAGGGGCCAGCAUGAAAAUUUGGUGGCUCCCAACAGCUGAAGCUGCAAGCCAGAAUUCAUUGAUUUGUCCAUGUAGCCCUCCAGAGCUCAGGUUUCUCACAGAUAUUACCAAAUUGUUUAAAUGCAAAUGCUGUAACUUUUUCAGUCUCCCUAGAGAGUUUAACUUUAUCAUGAGACUGAAGUUUGUGGGCCCAUUCCUCAUUUAACAUUUUCAAGGCGAAUGUCACUGCAAUGCAGUGCAUUUUUUGGAGUUCCUAACAGGAAUAAGGCAGUGGCACUUCUAAAGAAUUCCUCAAGCAAAGGAGGAGUCAGAGUUCUCAGCAGCACUCAGAAGCCAGGAGGAAAGUGUGAUGUAAGCAGAUGGAAGAAUUUAAUUCUGAUAUGUGCAUAGGGAAUAAUCAAUGAAACAUCUUUUCCUUUUGGAAAGGAUAUGGGAAAUAGGUCUUCCCAGAUUUUAUCUUUUCCUUUGUUUGAAACUGUUCUUUGUAAUGGCAGAUUAUGGGGGCUCCAGGAAGGGAGUAUACCCAAAGGCAACACUUUGACUUUAUACUUGAGAGCAGUAUAAUGCAGGCAAGCAGAAUAGGAGGUUUUGAGGCAAAGGUGCAUACAGAUGUCAAAACUAUAAUGAACCGAAGAAGUGAGGCAGGAAUCCCUUGUGAGUGGAUUGUUUUUGAGGGAGCUUCUCAAAGAAUCAGUGUUUACCCUCCAAUUAUCACAGAACAGGCACCAGGUGAAGUGAUUUAAAACAAAUGAGUGGGAAUAACUGGCUGAAACACCAUAGCAAGAAAUAAUACACUGGCCCAAACGGUGAACUGACCAGCGUGAAUAUGACUUUUUCUAGACAGUGGUAUAUGCAUUUUUAAAAAUUUAUUUAUUUAUUUUGCACUGGGAAUUGAACUCAGGAUCAGUACAGGCAGGUGCUGUGCCACUGAGCUAUAUUCCUGGCCCACUGGUGUUUUUAUAUUACCAGAUGGGCAUUUCUCUAAUUUUUUGUGUUAUUAAAUGUUUUUGCUUACUUUCUGGAUUAUUGAAGAUUUUAGGUAGUUUUAGAUUUUAUUGUCUUUGUUAUGUUUUAUUUUCAAUUUGCUUUUAGCCUAUUUUGACUCUUUUACUUGCUGGUCAAUGUUUUCAGGGAUUCUUAAACUUUCAUAUUUAGCUGUUAGUAAAAGGUCCAUCUUUUUUUAAAAAUUGGUUAAAAAUACAUCUUUGUUAUGUUUUAUUUUCAAUUUGCUUUUAGCCUAUUUUGACUCUUUUACUUGCUGGUCAAUGUUUUCAGGGAUUCUUAAACUUUCAUAUUUAGCUGUUAGUAAAAGGUCCAUCUUUUUUUAAAAAUUGGUUAAAAAUACAUUUCUAGUAACUUCUCAGAUUUCUGCACCAUUGUAAAACUCUUGAUUUCACAUAAGAAUAAUCUUGUCCACUUUUAAAGUUGCUACUAGUUUUAAUUGUUAGUUCACUUUUAUUUAAUAGGAAAACAAACUGUCCCAGUUCAUGUAGGACUCAUAGUUUUCUGGAACAUGGAACUUUCAGUGCCCAAACUGAAGAGUGUUGGACAAUCCAAGAUGGUAUCAUCCUUUAUGGCAAUGGCCGAUGUGGCAGAGAUGAUUGGUGUCCCCUACAUGUUGUGCCCCAUUCUUUUCAAGAUCAGAACACAUUUUCUAGUCUUCCUUGCAUCUAAGUGCAGCUGCUUGAUUUUGUUAAUGGUCGCAAUGUGAGAACUGAUGCAGAAGCAAGCAUGCUGUUUCCUACAUUUUCUUAUAUGAUCUAGAUUUCAACAUGCAGGGCAACUUCGGGAAUGCCAGCUAUUGAAGAUGGCAGAGUUCUGGGCAACCUGAGUUCACAAAUGACUGCAUAUGAUCUAGGACCCACUGUCCAUCUUGCUACCACUGCCAUGCUGGAAUAUGGAAACAAUAUAACUCCCAAAAUGAUAGAGGUCAGAUGCACUAAAUUUCUAUUUCUCAAAAUCAAACAAUGAAUUCUAGGGAACAGUGAAGGCUAAAAGUAGGAAAAACUUUAUUGAGAUUGGUAGCUCCUGAAAGACAAGAUGGGCCUGAAAGUGGGCAAGCCCACUUCUCAAAGGAAGUUUUAUGGAGCAAAAUCACAAGGUAGGUACAAUGUGGGUCAAAACUAUGAUUAACCAAUAGGAUUACAGAUAUAGCCACUUAGAUAAUAUUGAACCAAUAGAGAAGCAAGUCAUAUAGCAAGCAUACAUACAAAGAACAAAGAACUUCUUUAGAAGGGAUGGAUGGGGCAGAGAAUGUCUUGGUCAGUCACUGGGGUGACUGCUGUCUAUAUGGACUUUAUUGGAUCAGGUGGUACCAAUUAUCUUAUCCCAAGGAGGCCUUGGUCAUUAUUUCUUUAUCUUGAGGCCUGGCCUCCAAUAGAUGCAUCUCUGGCCACAGCUGUAAUGUGUUCUCAUCCUCUGCACUGACUCCUUUUGAGGUCUAGUCUGUUCUGAUUGCCUAUAAUAUUUCUACCUAACCUAGCUUUCUAUAAUAAUGGGAUUUCAUACUAGAAAGAACCCAGCUUCUAUUGGAUUAAACCCCUGAGAUGUUAAGUUCUGUUCCAGCAGUUAGUGUUACAAUUAAUAUAUCCAGUUUUAAGGCAUAUUUUUAAUAUUUUGAUUAUAGUUUUUAUCAUAAUAAAAAACUAGAGAGGUAAAACCACUAUUUUUGCCAUUCCAUGAAUUUCUGUAGCCGCCACAUAAGUGUUUGCUGUUGGAUUUGAAGCUGAAGUAAAAAACAAAAUAAAACAAAAACUGAAACUCCAGAAAAUAUUCACAAAACAAGAAGUACCCAUGAGGAAGGAGUAGCCAUGCGGAGCAGGCCCCCUGGAUGAUUUCCUGUCAGAGACGGGCUGGAGUGUAAGCAGGAAAUGAAAUCACCAAUGGCCCUGUUUUCCUUCCAUUCUACUGCAGCAUAAUGAAUUUUUAUCCCAAGCUCAGAAAAACUCUGUGUUAUGCUUGUUGACUCCAAAUCUAGAAUUUCAACAGAAAGCUAAGCUGGGCUGGCAGCUCUGUAAACAAGAGCAUCCAUUAGCAUUUCACUUACCGUUUUUAAAGAUGUAGGGGUACUAAUGCUUACCUGUGUGAAUUAAAUAAGACAAUACUUUAAAAUGCCUCGCAAUACACGGCACCUAGUAGAUUCUCUGUAAAUCUUAUUUUCCGUCUUCUAUUGCAAAAACAAUAGUUUUAAUAUUACCCCUUUUGUCUACAGGAUGCUGAUGUGCCAGGGCAGCAUGUCAGUUUGUGCCUUCUGAAACGGGCAAGCAGAGUCGUUUAAAUCGAUUUGUCUCCAGCAGACUGUUUUAAUUUCACUGAAUUGUGCUGACGUGGAGGAGAGAGAUUAGCUGCAGUGUCAUUUAACGCCAGGGAAGCACAAGAUGGUGACUGGUUACCAAGGAGACCCACAACAAGAUGGCUACUGUGGGUUACAUGGUGAGAGAGCACAAGACGGUGACUGGUCAUCAUGUGACCUGCAACAAGUUGGCUGCUGCUGAUUCCAUGAUGAGGGACCACAAGAUAGUGGCCAUUUACCCCGUGACCUGUUACAAGAUGGUGGCUCACUGUCACAUGGUGGAGGACUACAAGAUGUCGGCUCUUCUCCAUGUGAGCUGAAGCAAGAUGGCUGCUAAAGACCAUGUGGUAUGGAAUCGCAAGAUGGUGAUCAAAUACCAAGUGGCCUGCUAGGUGGCUGAAAUGCGUGAGACUGAGUAUGCAUUGUGACUGCAGUCCAUGGAGUGAAAAAAAGGCUCAAAGUACCCUAUGUUUUAAGUCCUGAAAACUUCCCACUGCCAGGCAAGCCUGCUCCCAACUGGGCUUGCUAACCUCUGCCCCCGUGAAAUAUCUAUAAACCAAGGUCGGAGGAAUGGAGUGGAAAGCUACCUUUUGGGGACUGCUGAACAGGCAGAAACAAGACCAGUGUGCACUGUUUGUUCUCUAAUGAACCAGUCCAGAGACUAAUAAAUAUUAAUCUCCAAAAACUGGACAACGGAAUGAUAUAAGGAAUCAGAAUUUUGCCUUAAAGAAAGUUUUGCCUCUGCUCACAGUGGUUCCAUAUACUUGCUACAGAAACUUCCCAUGGAAAAGCCUAUGUUGAAUUGUCAGAAGCAAGAGAGGAGGAUACAGAAAAAAAAGGGCAAGGUAAAUUUAAGUGGAUAAAGUGUACACAUUUUGUAAAGUCAGUGACAUUUUUAGGUCAGAGGUUUGAAAACUGUCAUAGGGAUUCUUGGCAAUGUAGGAUGAUGCUUUAAGCAACAUGGCUGGAUUCCUCUGCCUGUUUGCCUUUCCUUUUUGCCAUUAGUGGAAAUAUAUGGCUUUGCUGAGAAUCAUCAGAGCAAUAUGUCAUUUCCAUUCCUCAUACAAUAGCACACAGUAUAAUUUAGGCAUAAGAAAAAUACUUAUUCUCCAGAAUUGGUAAAAUGGCAGCAAAGCGAUAAUCCCUGAGUGCUUUCCCUCAGGUCUGCACCUGAACAUAUCCCUUGGCAAAAGCCACUGCUUUGCAAAACCCCCUCCCUUUGGCCCCAUGUCCUUUGGGAACCCUAACCUGUAUGUUCCAGCCACUGGGAACUACCAUCAUUUUCAAAUACAGUGGACUCACAUAUAAUCCUGAGACUUUCUGUUGUACUUUCAAUCUCCGUCCGCUAAGAGAGAUACCUUCCUGCUGAGAGAGAUCACCUGCCGUCUUCUGAGACAAGGUUCAAGGUGAUACUGUGGUCCCUGUUUUGAAAAACAGCAGGCCUUAUCUUCUUUUGAAGUCCUGUAAGGGCUCCAAUGUUUAGGUUUUAUUGGUUUUGUUCUGUACUGUUUUGUUCAAUUUUAUUAUACCUGAUGAUAUAGGCAAUUCUUUUUAAGAUAGCAAGAAGCAUUAUGAUAACCAUUGUUGAUCACCUGGUAUUCUGUUUUUACAUCAUGUACUAUGUCCAUCCUUUUGUUUUGACUGACUCUAUUUUGUUUUGUCACAUUUGGUUUUAUUCUCUUCAAAAAAAAGUAAUAAAAACUGUAGAAGUAAUAAAAUCCAAAAUGUGUAAUUGUUACUGGAAAAAAGAGAGGAAAAGAAAGUGCUCUAAAGGAUAUAACUGCAUGUAUAUUUAAGUGUGCAGGGUAGAAAACCAUAUUAUUAAGUUUUUGUUAGAUCACUGAACAGAACUGUCUGCAAUCUCACUGUUUGAAUGUCCACUUUAUAUGCUUUAAUUUUGUAACUUGAACAAGUUACAAAUUUCUAAGAUGACAAUAUGUAUUCUAUUAACUAGUGUUUCUUACUGUUUGCUUUUUUGAAAUUCUGUAUUACUUGUACCCUUUUACUGUUUUGUUUUUUUCUCUUUAAAUAAAAAAAAAAAGAAAAAAAAAAAAGAAAAACAGCAGACCCUCACUGCAGAGACACACAGCUCCGAGAGAAACUGCUGAGCACGGGGCAGGGAUAUUUUCAGCUUUCAUAUACUUCCAAAUAUUUUCCAAACUGAUGAUAUCAAUGUAUAAUUCUACCAGGAAUUGAUAACUAUUUUAAUUGCUCUGCAUCUCCACUAAGAGUUAAUAUUGCCGUUGUUUUUAAUUUUAGGAAUUCUGGUGGACAGUGGUAUGUAUUUGUAUUGCCCUGAUGAUUGAUUAUAUGGAGCAUUUUCCUAUGGGUUAAUUGGUUUUUUUUUUGGAAUUUUCUUGUCUUUAUAUAUGCAGAUUCAUUUCUUAGAUAUAUGCAUUGCAAAUAUCAUUAUCCAGUCUGUACCUCAUCUUUUUAGUGUUUUGGUGUUUUCUUUUGAUGAACUGAUAUUCUUAUUCUUAAAACAGUGAUUUCUGUUUUUUUUCUUUCAAGUGUAGUACUUUUGUUCCAUUUUAAAAAGAACUCUUUUUCUAUCCCAUCUAGUAGCCCAUCUGAAAUACAGUGAGAAGGGCAGCCCAGAAAAGAAUUUGGUCUCUAAGGACUCUGAACUACUGCAAGGAGGAGAGAAAAACAGACAUCCAGCUUUAUUAAGCUACUAUUUUUAAGCCCUGUGAUCUCCACUUGAACUGAAGUUUAUAAAAUCACUUACAAUAAAUAAACAACAGACAUUUUGCAGAAAUACCCAUUUAUAUGUUUAGAGGAGUUGUGUUAGUUACAAAAUCUUUACUUAGUGCUUUAAAAUAUAUAUCUUCUAAAAUAGAUUAUCAAGAAAAUUUUAAGUUGAUUCAUACAUGUAAACACAAAUAUAUCAAAAAUAGUAUUUAUUUAUUUAUUUAUUUACACAGGGCCUUUGUACUGAGCUAUAUCUCCAGCCCUUUUUAAUUUUUUACUUUGAGAGUGGGUCUUGGUAAGCUGCUACAUUGCCCAGGCUGGCCUUGAUCUUGCAGUCCUCCUACAUCAGCCUCCUAGACUGCUGGGAUUACAGAUCACAGAAAUAAUAGUGCUAUCUAAUGAUAAUGUGAAUAUUUUCCAGCUGAAGAAUGUUUGAGGGAUGUUUCAAGGGUCUACUUUGUUUACUACAGGAGCAGCUCUUGGAAACACGUGGGAAGUGUCACAGGGAGACAAAACAGAAAGGGACUGAGCACCUCGCAGUGCGAGGAAUGACCUGGGAGAUGGAUCUGAAAAACAAUCCAGUAAGACAGAAGAGCAACUGAGAAAAUCAAGGUCAUGUCUGAGGACUGGGAGCUCAGGCUGACAGCUAGUGAAACUCGUAACCCUGAAGAAAAGGCCAGAGAGAGCACCACGGCCAUGUGCAAAGCUUUCUGUUUACACAAUACAGUUGAGUACCUGUGACUCUUCCCUUGAUGGAUUCACUGAAGUGGAGUGUGAAACUGGGGCAAUAGCAGGUGAGUUUUUACAUCUACUUGUGUUACGGUUUAUAUCUAGAUAUCCCCCAAAGGCUCAUGCAGUCAGAGCAGAGGAGUUUUGGAGGGGCCAGGAUUUAGGGUGUGUGAAUGUGGAUUCAGGGUGUGGUACUUGCAUUAAGGGUGUGGAUAAUGAGAGCUCCACCCUAGCUUUGGUUGGCCCCAGUCAAUAGGCUUGUAGCCUGGAUAGAAUUUAAAGGAACACAAAGAAGGCAGGCUUGUCGUUUACUGCUUCUGCCUGCCAUGCCACAGACUGUUUCUUCUCUGCAGUGCCCCUCUGCCAUGCUGUCCUGCCUUGGAGACAGCUGACUACAGACUAAAACCUCUACAAACUUUGAGCUGAAAUAAACCUUUCCUCCUUUAACUUUGGGUCUCAGGUAUUUUGUCUCAUCAAUAAGAAAACUAAAUAUCAAAGAUUUUGUUAGAAAAUUAAUGAAAACAUGAUAGAAGUCAAUUGAGAUACAUUUCAUAAUUUUCUCUAAAACUCCAUAUUCUAAUUUAGAGAAUGCGGGUGAAUACCCAUGGCUGUUCCUUGGAUGCACUUACUGAAGUAGAGUGUGAAACUGGGGAUGGAACAGGUGAAUUUUUCAGUCUAUUUGCAAACAUGUGCAAAAUGCCAAUUCCAUGUUAAUUACAACAUAAAGCAACCUCAAUAGUUAAAAUUGUCCUUCAUGAGGAUUAAUGAAUAUACUUGAUCUCUGCCUGGAGCUUCUGGAACGAGACUCUGAAAGAUUAUUUGUUCUGAACCAAACGGGGAAAAUAUUGUACAUGGAAAACAAAAUGAAGAGUAUAACAUUUAUAAAUGUAUUGACAUUAAUUUAGCUACUAUCAAUUCUUCCAUAAUAUCAAUCUUCCUUUUAGGGGACAUGAUCAAAACUGGCUUUAAAUUGCAAAAGAUCUGUGACUAAGAUAACAUCUCUAAUAAAAAUGGGAGAAAAAUAAACACUUCAUUAUACCACAUCUGUAUUUGGCUCUCGGACUCGAAAAUGCACAUAACAUGUAUUCAAAUAUUUCCGCUCAGUGAUGAGUUCUACAGUGCACAAUCAUGUCUGCUCAUUGCUGAUUUUCAAGCUCCUGUAUUAUCUUAGUCAUUAAACCACAGUAAGUUUAUCUUUCCAAAAUGCUGAAAGGCUCCACAAAUGUGUUCAAUGCCCAAAUCAAAAUAUAUAAGGCUUCAUAAAAUUGAAACUACUAAGAAACUAGAGACACAACAACAUUUAGGUGGGGCAAUACACAGGGUGUGACACGUCUUCCCAGGCAGAGCAGUGAAGCAUGCAUGACAAAUCCACAUGGUGGCUGUGGGGCAGCUACAGUGGCAAUGCCUUGCAAUCAACACGCCUGGACUUUCCAGUCUGCAAAACGCCCAUGAUCUACAUGACCCUUUUUUGGAAACCAAAAUGUAUCCAGAGUCCCAGAGCAUCAGCUGGGGCAAUCUGGGGCUGACUUCAGGGCAGUUCAUAGAAAUGGCAGCUGAAGGAGGGAGUAUUAAAUGGCCUUUGGAAGCGCUGGGCUAGCAGGAGGACAUGAGCAUGGAACGAAUAGGUCAUCUGAGUCACUGGGAGAAUGGAGCAUAAAGCUAAGGAAAACAGAGGACAGAAUCUGAAGACCUGGUAAAGUGAACAAAUUUAGGGACUUCUGUCAACCAUAAUUCACUUUUUUUUUUUGUCCCAGGUUGUGAUGUGCUCCUGGGCUCAAAUCAGCAGCGCACAAGGUUGAGGGCUGGUGUUCUCUCUUUUCCACAAACACAGGAUUCCUUGGGAGCAUUGCCCAGCCCCUAGGAGACACUCCGUGUAUCACUUUGACUGAUCUUUGAGCAUCUGUGCUUUGAGAAGCAUGAAAGAAUACAAAGCUGCAGAGCAUUCUUGCAGUCACUGGCAGUCUGAUGGGGGAAAAGUUAAUGACUGUCCUGAGUUUUGCAGUGGAACAAUUUCGGGCCAAAAUUAGGAACAUUGUGCCAAAGAGCCCAAAACAGACAAGUAAUUCUUUGACUACUUUCUAUUGGCAUUUUCAAAGGCUAGGUACCCUUAAGAUUUGUCAUAUGUUCUUAGACAUAUAAUCUUUAAGUUCCUAGCAUCUUUUAUGAGUAUGACCAAAAUCUUAAUUUGAAUGGACACAUUCACUUACACAUGAUGGGAAUUUCACUAGUAUUACAUGGCACACUUGGUAUUUUUUCCUGGCAUAAUUAUUGUUUUUCUUUUAUCCUGUUUAUAAAAAUUUCUCCUUUUAUUCACAUCACUUAAGAGUGCAAAACGUACAUCAUAGCUUGAUGUUAUUCUCAUCAGAUUUCUGGAUAAACAACCCAAAAUUCUGAGCGCGUGAAUUAAAUUCAUUUUUCUUAGGAAGAAUCAUGACACUGAGAAUUCCGGGAGAACACAGGAAUUUGACCUCUUCAGAAAUCAUAAAGGAAAAGUCCAUCUUUCCUGGAAAUCUAAAAAAAGCUAAUGGCAACUGGAAAAAUUUCACUCAAACAAAGUCAUCCAUUGCAGGAGCUCCCAGCCAUGCCAUGCGCCCCGUGCUGGAUGGUGAUAGAGGAUCCAGUCAGUGGAUGUAGAGUCGAGGAUCCAUAAAGUUGAAGAAAAGAAGAUGGUGCCCAACCAUCCAUGUGCCCUCUCCUGCCCCGGACAUGGGCAUUUCUCGGAAGGCAGUGGAAUAAAAAGCAGCCACUGCCUGUUACCCCAGACUGUUCACCAUCACUUACUUCUAGACAGUUCACAGCACAGAGAAUGCAGAUCGAUUGUGAUCAGGCCUCACUUCAGGAUUAACCAGAGGAAACCAGAGAAGGUGCCCAGUCCCUCUUCCCCUCCUCCCUUCUUCCUCCUCCUCCCUGUCCCUCUUUUUCUCUCCCCUCCACCCCAGGAUUUUUUUUUUUGGUUUGGUAUCAGGAAUUGAAGUCAGUCCCCAGUGUGGUGACGUGGGAGGUAGUGGGACCUGUAAGAGAGGGGGAGAUUAAGAAGCAGCUGGGUCUCUGAGGAUGCUGUGCACAGAAGGGACUGCUACAGUCUCAUGGGAUCCCACUUUGCUCUCCAAGCAGUACAGUAUUACUAAACAGCAGGCCUGGUCUCUCCCUUUGUGGCAUCCUCUCAAGUGCAAUCUCUUCCACAUCUGCCACUGCAAUGCCAUCCACCCUGAGGCCCUUGCUGAGCUGAUACUGAUAUUUUAAUAAUCCUUUUAGAGCUUCUAUAUCAGACAUAGACACACAGCCUCCUCUGGAUUUUUCUUUUAGAUGAUAGAGAAAAACAAAAUCUUUCUUGUUUAAUGAGUAUUUUUCUUUAUUAUUUAUAGUCAAACACAUUUCCUAACUGAAACACACACAUUGUCUCUUCUCUGUCUCUGUCCCUGUCUCUCUCUGUGUCUCUUUCACCAGAGGCACCACUAAAAAAUGAGAUAGGAACACAACUACCACAUAUUUAAAGUGCAAAGAAAGAGCAAUGGUGGGCAUUGAUCCCUACUGCACUAAGAGAAAUUCCAACUCAGAGACUGCAAUUAAAAUAAUGGAGAGGAAAAUAUCCCAAACUAAAUGACCAAUUUUGUUUCCUAGAGAGGCGUUUCGUUGUGACCCAGAGGACUGAUUUGAGAGCUACAAAUUAAGCAAAGCUUCAGGCGAGUCUUUUGGAAAAAUCAUUCUUAAAGAAAUGUAGCCUCUGGGCCAAACAGAGGAAUAAACAUGGUGCACAGAGAGACUCAGAGUUCAAGAAGCUCUCCCUGGUUUGAGGAAUGCAAGAGCUGCAGGGAACAAGUGCAAGUAACUGGAGCAUUAUUCUCAUGAUUACUAAUGGUUCUUAAUAACUAAGCGGCAACAUUAGGUCUCUGGUUGGCUGAAAUGCUCACAAAUUGCUCACUACAGUUAUUACUAAUAACUAAAUAUAAUUUGACACUAAAUUACAAUUCCAGAUAUUUCCCUGCAGCCCCUUAUUGCAAAGGAAAACCAAGCCAGUACAUCAAUAAAUAGAAUAAUCCAAUUUAAUGUCUCUCCAUUUGGGAACCAUUUAGAAUUGAGAGUAACAGAAUGGUGAGAUCAAGAUAGAACAAUCCAGUAUUUACUGAUUUAAAAAAUCAGAACACUUUCUAUAAGACAAUUAUCUUUGGUUAUUUGAAAAUAAGUGUCAGUCAGUCUGAAUGACUUUGAUGUAGUGAUUUUAAUCAUGAUAAAUUCUUUCUAGACAAAAGGUGUCAUUUUUAAUACUUGCAUUUUAAAAUUAAAUGUAAGUACAUGUUUAUGUUCAAAGUGUCUUUGUAAACACAUUCCCAAUCACUUUUUAUGACAUAUAAUGAUCACCUAUUAGCCAGGAAUUACAUAUACAGAAAAACGGACAGAUAAAAACGAUCUACAUUCCUUCUAGCUACAUUUGAGUGGAGAAAUGACAGCUAGAUUGCCUGGUAAUAGUUUAUGUUGGAGUUGUUGUUAACACAUUAGCAGGAUUUUGUCAGAGACGGGUGUGUCCUCUAUAAUGGGAAGGGAUGAUAUUUGCCUGCAGAGGCAGAAACACAAGCGAAGAAUUUUUUCCCCCAAGAUGUGUUGGAGGUGUUAUCAUAGAAACAGUGGCUGUGCUCUGAGCUUUCCAUCAGCAGAAAUUAGAGAGAUACUCAAAUAGCAUGGUAAUGGCGUUCUUUGGAGAAUGUGUUCCUAAAGUUUCUACAGGCAGCUGAUGAAGCCUGGUGUACAUCCCUCAGGUCGAAUUUCUACAGGAAUGGAGUGAAAUCAAGGUACAAUCAAACUCUCCAGGAAAAUAGGCCCCGAGUUAGAGGUUCUUGUGUUGUGUUCGCUGCAAGCAUUUCUCUGGUGACUCCUGUGUGCUUACUAUUAAAGUGUGUGCUCUAUAGAUGCCUCCACGGUACUGGCCCCUAGUGAGACUAUUACAACAAAGCUGAAAAGAUACUUACUACUGGUGGAUGACAGGUGGCUGUAGUCGGACCUGAAACACAAAACCUCAGUAUUAGCAAGAUUGUAUAACGUUUUUCUUUAUCCAAAUGAUUUAUUCAAACUAGAAGUUUAAAAGUCGGUGGUGAGUAGCAUUUAACUAGUAAAAUAAGGGUCACCAAUUAAAAAUUUAUACCAUAGUGCAAACAAAAGUUAUGCCUGAAUUUUAAAGCAAAACUUUUAAAGGCAUUUUAGUAUUGGGGGACUUUGACAUUGGCUAUGUGAGUCUGCUGGAUUCUAAGUCUGUUGGCAAAUUUUCAAGUGCUUGUCUAUUUUUCUGGAAAAAAGACCCAAAGUUUUUAACAGAUCUAUGAUUCCCAAAAGGUAAAACCACUGCAAAUGAGCAUACCUCAAAUGUUCAUACAAGUCACGAGAGAAUGUCUCUUUGCUGAGUCAGCAUUGUCAGAGGGCACAGAGAGAACCCGGGCCACCAGGGCACACACAUUUUAGGUGUGGAUGGCCAGCAGGGAGCCCAGAGGCAUAGUCCUAUUUUAACACAUCUCAGUAUCAUUAAAAAGAAAUCGGCUGAAUAUCAGAGCACAGGUUGUGGGCUGUAUAUGGGAUUUUAGGCUGAAACACCAGUGGAGGCACUGAGCUAGGAGAUGGGCCUCUGGCCAAAGACCAGCCUUGCUAAUCUCUGAUGAGUUUCUGCCCUAUUUGCAGGGUUGCUAAACUUCUUUCUCUGGCAACACAUUGGGUGUAGAAGCUAUUUAUUUUCUUCCCUACCGGUGGUGUCUCAAAGUAAUUUUCAGUAGGAAAUUAAUCACUUGGGCAUGUAAAGAUUUAGUCUGCCUGCUAGUGAGGGGAUGUAGUUAAUGCAAAUAAACUGCUUGAUUAUAUUUGACUUUAUAGAUAUAUACUCCUUUUAUUUGCUUAGUCUCAUGCUUUUUUUGUGUGUGUGUGCUAGGAAUUGAACUCAGGACCUUGCACUUGCCAGGUAGGUGCUUGUGCCACUGAGCUAAAUCCCCAGCUCUUCAUGUUGCUUUUCUUGAUUCAUCCAAUUUUCAUUCCACUGAGCUUCUUAUCACAUUAAAAAAUAUAUACCAAACUUUAAAAAACUCAUAAGAAGCAUAGUGCACUUGUUAAAAUAAUGUACAUGGCUCAGACCAAAUGAUUUAGUGGUACAGGAACCAAAUGGAAAAAAAAAAAAACCCAGCACAUGGUUUUCUCUGUUUCAAAUGAAAUAUUUUAGUAGCCAAAGAAUCCUUGAAUUUUAAAACUGGAAAAAAAUAACAACUAACAUUUGCAUAUCUCUUUAUACUUUAUAAACUACAUUUGCAUAUAUUUAAAUCAACCUUUAUUUUACUAAUUGGACAAUGAAAGUUACACUAUUUGCAAGGAGUCCAGGAGGUGAGGAAUCCUAAGGACUUGGACUCUUUAGGAUAGGUAGCAAGGACUGAGUUUGAAACUAGGAUGCCCGGUCAGGACAUGGUGACACACACUUAAGGGGAGCAAAAGCAAGAUGAGAACCAUUUUAAAACUCAGGAUUUGCAGCCCCAGUACUGGCACAUUAAAUAUUUUCUGGAACCAAGGCCAUAAAUAAGCUUUAGGACAAUACUUAGAAACAUAACUAUAUAAAAAUGCAGUGAAUGCUCAGCAAGUAUGCUUGAUAGUAGAUGUAACAGCAAAAUAAUUCCAUUACAAAAUGAUCAUCUGCAAAUGCCCAGACUUUUAAAAGACUGUAUGAGUAUUCAAAUACAAUUUAUAAUAAAAAUGUAUAAUAUUACUAUUUGUCUUAUAUUAAAAAAUGUGUCAGCCUUUUCAGUUAGAAUUUUCCAACUACUCCUGAAGCAGAUGGGAUUCACAUAUGUAGGCAUUUUAAAGAUCUGCAUACAGAUGGAUAUGUAUGUAGAAUUAAAUUUACAUCGGGAACACAGUUCAGGAAUCUUGAAGUACAGUGGUAGUAUUUUAGGACAGGUGCUAGCGUAACAAAUGGCUCUCCAUGAGUUCCCCCAAAUCUUUUGGAAUAAGAGGCACUGCCUGGGUCAGGUCUGUUAACCGGUCAGCCUUCAGGAGUCCCUGUCCUUUGCUCCAAUUCCUUCUCCAGACAGCAGCCAAUUUUUGCAAAGCACAAAUCUGAUCAUGUCUCUCUUUGGAUGAGAUUCAAACUUGCUACUUGAAACACAAACCCCUCUCUUCAUGACAGAUAGUCUCUGCCCAGCUCUCUAGCUCAAUUUCCAUCCCUGUUCACUGUGGAAACAGAAGUCAAACAGAAAGAAGUCACCCGAAACCUCACGUCGCUUUCCUGACUCUGGUCCUAACUUUACGAAAUUUGUGCACAGCUUCCAUAAUGAGGGAGAUUCAGCUCUGCACUGCUCUUUUUAUUUCACGUCAGCAUGCUACCACUCAGCUCCUUAAUAGCAUUUUAGGGAGAAUUCACUCAACCACUUCCCUUUUGCUAGCUUACGAUUGUUCCUGAUUGUUUGCAUUUACAAAGCACAAGGCAAUGAUAUUUACAAAUAUAGCUUUGCAUUUAUUUUCUUGCUCUUAGAAAAAUCUCUGUGAGUGGGAAUGCUCACUGAAUUUAGGUGUGAAGAUUUUUCAUAGCUCUUAAAAAUACAUUCCAAAUAAGCCCAACAGAUCAUUUCCUGGAAAUAUUGCUAGUGAAAGAAAAACUAUCAAACUUGAGAAAAUUUUGUGCAUGAAUAAAUUAAAAUAAUCUCAGAAAACAAUCAGAUAUAUGGCCACGGGUCACUGGGGGAGUCUUUGUAGCCUGAUUUCCUUUGAGAAGGAAGGAAUAGCGGUUGGCCUUGAGAUUUCUAUUUACUGGUCUCCCAUUAUAAGAAUUUACCUGGCUCAUUCCAUAUAUGACAGUCAAGCCUGAAGCAGGAAACGUGAGUCCAUAAAUUUUAGGAUGCGAAACUUUUGAACAUUUGAUAUACAGGAGAACAAUAAUACAAGAAUUGUAUAUCCUCAUACAGUGGACAUAUCUAAAAACACAUUUCCAAAUACUGUAUUUAUUUAGUAUCUGUGUUAAUAAUAAAAAACUUUUAGAGCUGUUCCUUGACUGUAUUUUAAUGGUACGUUUAGGGUUAUAUAUAAAGGCAUUCUGUACUUAAGAUAGCUUAGCACUGUUAGUUGCCUACUUGUCAAUUUAUAUAUACAUUAGUUUUAUAAAAUGAAUACCUUCUGAAACUAUCUUUUCCAGAAAAACCACAGCAUAAGAAUUUGAUCUUGGCAUUUCUGUAAAAGUGGUCUUGAUGUUUCUGCAAAACAUCAGCUUGGUGUACCCAAGACUUCAUGAUACCUUCCAGUGCACUGGGUUAAUAAAUGCCAUGGCAACACGCGUUAACUAGCUACACUUGCACACAAAGUUCAUAGAGUGUUAGAGACAGUCUUAUCUUCUAUGCAAGAUUUUCUGAUUUUAAAACUCGUUUCACUUUUAAAUUUAUUGCACGUAUUCUCUCAUCCACUUGUUUAAACCCUCAACCUAUACACUUUUUAAAUUACUGAAGCCAUAGUGAGGUUGGAGAUCACCCAAAGAUACAGGCUACAGUAUAAGCCUGGCCUGGGUCAGAAGCUCAGUGACAACUGACACAGAAGCAGAAACUCAUUAAUUCCAGGCUGAAGAAUAAUCCAUCAGGUACGAUCAUAUGUGAAAGAUUAAUUUAGAGACCAAUUCAUGGAAACAUCAUUGAAGACACUGUCAUUAUAAAGCAUUGGCUUUUAUUCAGAUUAAGAAGGCUCCACCUGUUUUUCUAUUAAGAGGUUCUGUUUUUGAAGCUAGUUUAGUACUAUCAGCAGGUGACUUGCCAAUUUUUUUCUAAUGGAAAGCUCACAGAAGCACAAGGCCUGCAUUCAAGAGGACUGGGGACAUGGGAGCUUCAAAACAACAUCAAUUGUCAACGUUGUUUGCUGUUAGUCUUGGCAUGUAUUAGGUAGGCCAGACAACAAAGGCAGCACUUCAAGCAAACAAAAAUGAACAGAAAAUGAAAAUUACUAGAGAUUAAAAGCCUUCUUACAAGUCAAAGUCAUUAUGUGGGAAACACACUGGAGACCCAGGAUUCUAUUGAGGCCACUAAUGAGCCAUGAGCCCGCUAGGUCUCCAUUUCCCCACCUCUAAAAUAAUAAUAUACUGAUACAUGCCCUACAGCCUAUGGGGUGUCUUGAAUAAUGAUUAAAUUACUAAGGUUUUAAAAGCAUCUGAACAUACACUAUGAUAAGUGUAAAGAGCAUAUAAGGUCUUAGAGGGUCAAAAUGUAUCAUUUGGAAUGUACUUUGUAACAACAAUAAUAAUGGUAUGAUGAGAAACAGCACCAGACUGAGGUUGACUUAUGCCAGGUACUGUUCUAAGGCUUUGAAUGCACACCCUCCUUUAAUCCUCACAACAACCCUAUGAUGGUGGUAUUGCCAUCAGUCACCAACCUAAGAGGCUGGUUCUUAUGACUAAACUUUCAAAGUAAUCAGCAUAGUCUGCUCACUUCCAGUGGGACCCGCAUGGGAUAGAUAAUAGAACGGUCAGUUUAAUAAGUAUUCCUCUAAAAUCCCUUGAUCCUCUGCUCUGUUCUGACUCAUGUAUCACCAAUCCCUCCUCCACCAGUUUGUGAUGAGCCCAACCACGCCCAGCUCUCUCUGCCUGCCCCUCCGGCCCUAGGUUGUUGAGGUGUGCUGCAGGAACAUAAAUGGCAAUUUGACUCCUGCCUCUGUAAAUAUACAAUCGUUCUUCCCACUGGUGCUCACCAGCACACCCAGACAUUUUCAAUCUCCCUUCUCCUGGGCCAGGGCCGCAGUCACACCUACUAACAACCCCGUGUCCCUUCCUUCGCUCCUGUUGUAAGGCAGCCAUGUCCUCUUCCUACUCAAAGCGCAUCCACCCACACGUGGGGUGAAGUCCAUCUGCUUCCACCUCUUCAGAAAGCGGACUUCAUCUUUAUCCUUCCCCUUUCCAGUUAGUCUGCCUGUUAAGGAACUCCUUGCCUCCCACGUGUUCCCUUCUGGCUUCUGCCUCUCUGUGCCCUUCUCUGUUCCACAUCGAUGGCUCUUGCUGUCACCUCUGCCUCAUCUUCUAUGUCCUUCUGAGUCUCUCUUUUGCCUCCACCACCCAUUGCCAAAUAUUCACUUCACUGUGUCCACUAAUAAAAGGACACUUCAUAUUCCUCAUCUUAGUUCUCAGAGGCCCAGCUGAUUUCUUUUUCCAAAUCUCAAACUUUCCUUGACUUCAGGAUAGCUCAUCCUCCCAUUCCACGCAGACUCUUUCUCAGGCUCCUUUACUAGCUCAGCCUCUUUCACCUGACAUUUAAAUGUGGUUUCUCAAGGCCAGUUUUAAAGAUCACCUGCUACUCUGAGUUGCUGAAGGAGUCAAUGAGCCAGUGGAACACACCUAGGCUUAGGGUAGUUGGUGGCACACAGUAAAUGCUAAAUGACCUUUAGUCAAUCUGUCUCAGGCUUCAAAAGCCAUGUUUAGGUGGACAGCACCCAAAGGUGAUGUCGUCAUGCAGACCUCCACACUGAGCCCCAAAGCUGCAGCCCACUGCUGCCUCACCAUCUUCACUGAGAUGUCUCUCAAGACCUCAAGAUCCGUACUGCAAAUGAACCAUCUCAUGCUCUGCCCACACUUGGUUUGGAUGGGGUCUCGGACUACUUGGAGAAUCAGAUAAAAGUUCUCUUCUGAUAAAAAUUCACAAAGUACAUUAUUUUGCAUAUAACUUGGCAUAAUUUAUGGACCCCAAAUUAAGGACCAUUAUCAUAGUGCAUGUGUCACUUGAGCUUGUUCUUGAGAGGAGGAUAAAGUUUUUCCUAGUGGAUAGGCAUGAAGGUAGGAAGGGCAGAGCUGGCAGAGAGGGCAGCUUGACAGAGGCAAGGCAGCAGCAAAACCACCGGAUGUGGCCAGGUGCAAGGUAAAAAGAGGGACCUGGGUAGAGAAAGAACCAGAGGGGAAAAGGAGGCACUUCAUACUUCUAGCCAUGCCAAACUCGUGCACUUGAUGGGUGACAGAGCCAUAAAAGUUUGGAAAGGAAAGAUAGGGCCAGAUUUAUGUUUUAAAAAUAAUUAUUCUAACACACAUGUAUUGAGUGCUUUCUAUGUGUCCACAGGUUGCCAUCUAAAAGCUAGAAAUGGGAAGCCGAGCAACGCAAGCUCCAGAAAAAUGCGGAAACUAUGAAAAGCUUCUUUGAUAACUAAAGUAAAAUUCAAGGAGCAUAUGAAGGACAAACACAAGAUGAAAGCACAUGUAAUGAAACUAUCUGAUUUAAAUUCAUGCAUUUUACCUCUAUUUUAGUUUGAGGAUGCUAGUGAUGGAAUAAGAAUUCUUUAAACAAUUUGGUACUGUUACACAUUUUAGUGACAGAGGCAGAGAACAGAAGCUUGGGAGUCAGCAUGCUCAGUGAGCCCUCCCAGGAGCCCUGGCAGCUGUCAUGCUGAUUCUUGGUUUCGGAGGGGAUGUCCCCCUGGGUCAGGGCUUCCUUUCCUUCUCAAAGAAAAAAUUCUUGCAAAAAAUGUAUUCUAGGUGAGUUCUGAAAAUUGAAAAUAAAUGGAGUAGAGAACACCUUUUAACUCAGCUAUAAAGGA